AUUCUACAGCGGAACAUCUGGACGACGGCCGAAUUUCCCCUCGCUUCCCCGGCGAGUUUGGACUUCGUGGGACACUCCGGGAACUUCGCGAAACUAAUGUGCUAUGCAUUUGAAACGCUGUCAAUUCGUCAAUAAGAACUUCAGAUCUCCUAUUCAGUCUCCUGAAUGGAGAAAAGCAUCUAUUUUGACACAGAAAAUCGUAUAUGUUGGCAGAGUAAAUCAUCCACGUUGGCAGAUAAAAUUAGAGCGGCUGCUCUGAAAAUGAGCAUUGAAACUGCGUGGAACCAUCUGUCCCACCUAGCUCAGCAGUUCAGGAUCAGAAGCAAAUCACCCAUGUAAGAGAGAACAGAUCGAUCGUCGACCGGGAUGCAUAAAAGGAAGAGCAAGAAGAAGAGAAGGAAGAAGCGGAAGAGGAAGAGGAAGCGGAAAAGGAAGCUGGACUGGAAGAACAUUCUUCGAAGAUGGUUACAAAGGUCGGUCAAAUGUUCUGCAGUAACAGCCCCCUCUUUGCAUUAAUCAGUGCCUAGUAUCUAGCCUUAUCUCAUCUGGGGUCUUGAGAGAAGAUCAAAAGGAGGACAAGAAAUAUAAGGAGGAUUUGGGGAUGCCUCCCUAAAAUCCGGCAAGAAACUUAGAGGGGAUUUUUACACUGACAAGUUGAGGGAUGAUUUCUGUAACCCCUCAGGAAAAUAUGGCCUGGAAUUGGGUCAUAAAACCUCAGAGUUGAAGAGUUAUUCUGUAGUUCUUAGAGACUGUCCAGUCCAUCCCCCUCAUUUAAUAGAUGGAGAAACCAUCUUGGGAAGUACUUGCCCCAAAUCACAAAGGUGGCAAAGCUGGGAUUUGAACUCAGUCUUCUGAUUUCAAUUCCAAGGCUCUUUUGAAGGGACCUUAGUGAUACUCUGGUCCUAUUCGGUAAAUUUGCAGCUGGUAAAACUGAGGCCUUGAGGGCAAACUGGCCUGACCUCCUGGUUCACUAUUAAUUAGCUUUAUUGUAGAAGUAAGCAUCCCAGCAUCCUUGCAAAUAAUGCAUGUACCUGGGUAGAAAGCAUUUGAUUAUUUCCUGGCAUUUCUAAAGAAGAACAGCUUCAGCCUAGGUAAUAACUGACACAAACAGAUCAUUUUGUCACUUUGGUGUAAACUAUUACUCUGGGCUCAAGCAGCUGCUGGGCGAUAAAAAUAAUCAGAACCAUGGAGCAAUGUGAUCUCUCCAGGGAGCCACACCCUAUUCUUUUGGCCCAAGACCAUUUUCCUCAAUGGAGCAUUGGCUCCUGGAAACCAUUGUACUUAAUGGGGCAUUGGCUCCUAGAAACUAUUGUGCUUAAUGGAGCAUUGGCUCCUGGAAACCAUUGUGCCUAACGGAGCAUGGGCUCUGGGUGGCUCCAGGUAUGCUCCUGGAGGGGCUCUGGGGCCACAGACACUGUAGGCUAAACUCCCUCUUAGGAUGGCUGAGUGAAGCCUGUUGGUUGGAAGAGUUGGUCGCUCAGGGAGAGGGAGGGAUUAUGCCAGAGUUGUCACUAGACUACUGAUUUCAUUCAUUAUGUCACUUCCCUAUUGAAAGAUUUUUCAGCGAGUCCCUAUUCUUAAUAGGAUCAGAUACAGGUUCAUUAGGCUGGUGGCCACAUUCCAGUCCCAUAUUGUCUUUUCCAACCCUAUCUCCCACCCUUCAAAUGAUUCAACGCUUCAAGGAUCUGUCAUUUUACUGGUGUGGGAACUCCUUCCACUGACACAGGUUGUAAACCCUCUCUGUGGCUAAGCCUAAACCGACGUUCUUUGAGAGAUACUGUUUUCAAAAGCUUCCAUCACCAUGAGGUCUACUUGGCCCUGAGGCUUUUUGAACUUAGCUUGGCUGGUCCUCAAACAUCAGUCUGUCCUCGGCCCAUCCUUGGAGACUUGCCAAGGGGAUUUACUUAUCCUACCCAUUUCCCUCACCCCCACCCCACCCCGGGGCACAGACUUCAAGGAUCCCAAGUCAUCUUCUCCACACCACAGUGAGACCUCUGAAGAGAGUCACUUGAGCUGAGCUUUACAGAGGAGAUCAGACUUGAACCCUGUCAUCUUUCAAAGGCUUAGCUCAAGCCCUACAUCCUCCAUGAAGCCUUCCCUGACCCACACAAUCUGGGGGGGGGGUCUCCUCUCCCUCUUCUGAACUCAAAAAGCACUUGUCUGUACUGUAUUGUUUAGUUGGCACUCACAUCAUAUACUGUCCAGUGAGUGUUCUUCUAUUGUUGUCUUGUAUUGUUACUCAGCUUAACUUAUGUGUGAGCCUGGGCUCCCUAGCCUAAUGGUGAGCUCAAGUUUGUGUUGAGGGCCGGGAACGUGCUUUAUAUGUCUUUGUAGCUCCCAGGGUAAAUGAGACCUAGCAUUGGGCUAGGCACACAGUUCUCUUGGGUUGGUACUUAUUAUUAUUAUUAUUUGUUAGGCUGGGUUAUUAUUUCUUUGGUUAAAGUCCUAAAAGGAAAAUGUUUCCUUCUGGACCUUAGAGAAGCUCACAAACAUCUCAGUCUUUGGAAUCUUCAACAUUGCUGAACUGUAUUCCCCUUUGGGAUUCAGUCCUUCCUUGGUAGCAAGAGAGGCAUGUUCAACAAAGGGAAAAUAGUUGUGGGAAGACUACGCCAAAUGAGUGUGUACCAUUGGGUGGAAGUCACAGUGGGGAAAUUGUAACCUAGUACUAGGAGCAAUUUUCCUAACAAUCAGAGCUUUCCCACAAUAGAUCAAUGGGCUUUAUAAGAGAGUGAGCUUCCUGACACUGUAAAGUUCCAACAGAGGCUCAGAGAAGCUUCUCUUCCCCCCAACAAUGAUGUCAUAGAGUGGGAAGAUGGAUUAGCUCACUUUGAAAAUCCUUCCCAAUUCUGAGUCUUUACUUAAACACUUUAAGAAUAUUGUGGGUACUCCCUAUAAAUGUUGCGACCCCUCUACAACUUAGAAGUGGGUCUUUAGAGAGUUGCUGUGGGGAGAUCUGUAAGAUGCUCCUCAGCCAGUAGAGCUAUGGUUCUGCAUAGGACACUGUCCUGAGAGUCACAGAGUUUAUAAGGGAGAUGUUAUAGAGAAUCUUGUAAUUGUCACAGCAUUCAAGAGUUGUGAAGGACAGAGCUGGGCCAUCAUAAAAAGGAAAGUCCAUUGGCCAAAGGCUUCUCUUGGACCCUAGCAUGAGGGAAGGGGAUCAUUUUGAAGGGGGACAAAAAAAUUUCUCCAACAGCACCACGCUUGUUGCAGUCUGAGAGCUGACAGCUGGAGAUCUUACUUUCUCCCCCUUCCCUCCUCCUCUUUGCUCACUCCCCCGAUUGAGCUCCUUUUUGGAAGGACUUUCCAAUUUGUUUGUUGGCUGUGCUUGAGAAAGCACUGGCUAGAAUGUGGCCCAAGGCAACCAUAACCAAGCCUCUGCAAUUAGAGACUUGAUUUUUGCCCCUCUUUGGGAACAUUGUGACACUGGCAUGUGUGACUUUCCAGGUGGCUGCAAAGGCAGCAAGAUUUCUUGGUCUGGGGGUAUGAUUAGCAAAGAAGAAGAGGGAGGAGCAAGAAAUUCUCCUACCUAGAAAAGGGCCUUCUCCUGACCCUGAAAAGCAAUCUUAUAACCACAAUAAGGACAGAUCCCAUUAUGGAAGAGUUAAUUAUUUCAAAAAUUGCAAGCCAAACCAUGUCUCCUGACACUGGCUGUAGGCAAAAAUCUGGUAGAAUAUGAUUAGUACAGAACUUACAUAAUAGCUUGGUGCCUUUCCCCCAUUAUAGUGCUGGUUAUAGCCUAUCCAUCAUUUACUACACCAGCAUUAUAUAUGGGUUUUGUUGCAUGCACCAAUAGUAUUGCAACUUAUUUUCAUAGUUUCUUUCAUCCAGGGAAUGCAUCAAAUUCACAGCUAUCACAUUAGGAAUAGUCACAACACCUACAUCAAGGUAAAAGAAGCAGGAACAGUCAAUCUUGUUCUAUUUCAGCAUUAAAUAAUUCAUUGUAAUAAAGAAAAACAAGCAAUAGUCACUAAUUUAGUAACUCAGACAGGAAAUACAAUAGGUUAUACCCAUAGUUGCCCAACUCUCAGUCAAGGGAAGAAGGCAUAUUUCAUUAUCUGGUCCUUGGAACCAACAAGAAUUUGGGUUCCUUUUUUCAUUAUUUUCAUUUAUUGUAUAUAUCUAUAUAUCUAUAUACUCUUCUCUUGAAUAUACUUACUUGAUUAUAUCAGUUUAUAUAGAUCUUCCCGUAUUUUUCUGAAUUUCUCAAAUUUUUUCUUUUUUAUGACAUAAUAAUACUCCAUUACAUGGGUACUGGAAAACAAUUUAUUCAGUCAUUCCCUGAUUGAAGAGCACUUGGUUUAUUUUCCUUUUUUUUUUUUUGGUCAAAAAUAUAUAGUUCAUGUCAUUAGGUAUAACAGGUAUGAUCAGAACCAUUUCAAUUCCACACUGAAUUUGCCUUGUAGCAGGGGAAAACAGUUAGGCAUUAGCAACUCCAAGGUCAUCCUGGCUGACAGUGUAAGCAACACUGUGUAGCUAUAGAUCCAAACCUCUCUUCUCAAGGAGGGGAGGCACAAUGCAUUAAGUGCUCUCUACAACCAAGACUGGUCAUUAUAAUUAGCCAGAGGUUAGCUUCUUUUUAGUGUUUGGUUUUUGUUUUCCAUUUAGAUUAUAGUAGUCAUUGUAUAUAUUGUGCUCCUAAUUGAGCUUACUUUAUUCAUAAGAUCAAAGAAGUCUUUAAAUAUUUCUUCAUUUCCUAAUAUUUCUCCUUUUAUUAUUGUACAAUAAUAUGUUACGUUCGUACGUGAGGACAUGAUUUACUCACCCAUUCCUCUAGGGGAAGGCACCCGGGUUGUUUCCAAUUCUUUACUACAAAGUAUAUUGACAGCACCUAUAAAAAGGUAGAAAGAGCAGGUAUGGUCGUCCCCACUGGAAAUCCACCUUGAACAUGCCUUGUAGCAAAGAAAAACACAAGCAAUAACAACCCAAAGGGUGACCCUGUCAGGCAACGAAUGUAAAAAGAGUGAAACUGUAGAGCCCAAACUCUAAGAUCAAUAGAGAGAGACAUGGGUCAAUAUCUACUCUUGGGGGGAGGGGGGAUUGGUCUUGAAAAUUGUUCAGUUUAGAUUCUUUUUACUUAUAUAUUACUAUAAACAGUGAAAAUAUUUUUAUUUCAGACCUAUUUUCUUUAUAUAAGUUUACUAAAAAUCUUCUAGGAAUUCUCAAAAUUCCUGACAUUCACAUAUUCUUAUAAAAUAGUAUUGAGUUACUAUCAAAAAGAAAGGCUUCAUCAAAAUGUUCUUUUCCUUCACUUGCUUAUUGCAUUCAUUGAACUGACGAAGUUUUAGAAAAAUCCACCAGAGUCUCAACACAUAGGGAGAAAGGUGUCAUGUUUCUUUGUUUACUCUUUGAAAUCUAGAUUGUUCUUUGGAAAUACACAGACAACAAAUUCUUCUUCAUUCUUUUUUCCUUUACAAGAUUAUAGUCAGUAUCUGGUCAGAAAUUUGUCAGUCAUUCUCAUCUGAAAGGUUACUGGGUGAUUUCUAUUUCUAUUUCUAGUCUUGAUUCAGGUAGGAGGAGUAUGAUUGACCUCUCUUAUGUAAGUUCCACCAUUAACUUGCCUUGUAGUAAAACAAAGAAGCAACUGGAGACCUGAGCAAAAAUCAAAGUUAAUGAGAACCCCAUGAAUGAAAAGGCAUCAAAAUGUAAAACUAGAAGAGGGUUCCUUUGUUACCUUUUACAUGUUCACUGACAUACAAAUAAAUAGGUCAAUAUACUGGGAAUUAGAAUAUUAUUUAGACAACAGUUUGCUUUUUUCUUCUUUAUUGAUUAGCAGAAGCCAUAAGAAUAGAGACAAUAACAACUGACUGUCCAGAAUUGUUCAGUUGUAGAGCCUUCAGUUUCAUUUCACAUUGUGGCUAGAAAGUAUAUUAAUUUUGAAAUAAAAAAAGUAAAAUGAGCAUGGUUGUCUACAACUAUGUAAAUGAUACCUAGAACAUGGUUAGAAGAAUAGGGGAGGAAUUAAUCAAUAGCUCAGGAAAAAGUGGCCAUGUUUCGGAGAAAAAAAGUAUUAUUUGAAUUCUUACUCCUAUAGGUCUUUGGAAUAGAAGGAAAAUUGAUUAAUAAUUUUAUUUAAAAGCAUCCAAAUUGGAAACUAUAAACAGAAGAAAACCUAGGAACUAUUUGUUCUUAUUUAUCAAACAAAAAAAGUAGAGUCACUAUGUAGAACUUGGUAUUUUGUUACUUGAGGGCAUACUAUUAACUCAAGCCCAAGGAAAAUGAAAAAAGAGGUCUUUUUUUUUUGUAACAUUCCUUGAGUUAUUUCUCAUGGGAAAAAACCUGAAAAAAUAAUCAGGUGAAAAGAAACACUGUCUACUAUGGCAGGCACCAAAUUGCACCUGACGUUCCCAAUAGCUCCAGUAAGAACAGGACAGCAAUAUUAUGAACAGCUUAAUUUUCCUAGUGUUGGUUCUAUAACUCAAGUAAAGACCUCCUCUUCUUAUUCUAUUACAACAAAGAAAUAAUCUUCAGUGUAAAGAUCAAAAUUUCUCAGUCAGUACUCCUAAAUCUGCCAACAUAUUUCCAUUUCUUUAUAAAAGAGUGCUUCAAUUUCAUCUGGAUCAAGGAGGAAUCUGUCCCUAUGUAUUCCUUGACCUAGCUCUGUAGUGAAGAAAAUUCACUUUCCCAACAAUCAGCCAAAAGGAAACCCUAUCUGAUAGGGUACCCAUCAUAAUACAUACGUAACUCGCCCACCUCAAAGUCAUCUAGUGGUGACAUGGUUCUUUCUUACCAUUCUUCUAUCCUUUCUGUUCAUUUAUUUUAAGUCCAAAAACAACACUUUUGUCUUUUCUGUUUCCUUCUUCUAUAACACACACACACACACACACACACACACACACACACAGGCAGGCAUGCACAUAAAAAUGAACUGCAAAAUGCACAGCCACAUAGCUAUAUACCCAUCAGUCCAGUACACAGACCAUAGUUUAUCAGACAUUCCAGUUUCAUAAAAACACCAUUUUUUUUUGCCAGGGAGGUCUUCCAUUCUGCCAGGAUAAAGAUGGAAUGAGCAUGGCUUUAUACCCCCAUUUGCCUUGCUCCUUGCCUUGGCUACCUAGCAAAGAAAACUAGAGGCAGCUCAAAGAGUCCUCUGUCUACCAGGGGAGGCACAGCACUGCACCUAUGGUUGCUCACCUCUAAAAACAGAGAUGUGGAAACCCACCUGAUAACCUGCUCUCUGAGACCAAGCAGGAUCAUGAUAUCCAGCAAAGUAUAGGUCCACUCACUCCAAUUCUCAGUUUCAUGGCUUUCAUGAGUGGACAGUCAAGGGUUGAUCUGCCAUUUGCCAUUUGAAAGAGGUCCCCAUUUCUUUCCCAAUCUUUGCUACUGAGGGCUAUGUUUACAGCAGGAUCUGGGUAGAAUGAAAAUAGAACUCCACCUCCAUGUAAGUUCCUCCUUGCAUUGGUCCUGCAGCAAAGACCAUACAUUGAAUCAUGACUCAGCUACAUGGUGACCCUGUCUACCAGGGGAGGUACCAUAUUUCACCCAGAGUGCCCCACUUCUGAGCACAGAGUAAGCCCAACAACAUCAAAUGCUCUCUGAGCCCAAGGAGAGUCAUGAUAUCCACUCAGAAGACAGCACUCCUGUCUCCGUUCUUCAGUGGUCAGGAUUUCAGCAGUGUAUGUUUCUAGGUUAGUCAUCCAUUCUCCAGGGGCAGUGCCCUGGUUUCUAAACAGUUAUUUGGUAUUCAAGGUAUCCAUUCUACUGAGAACAAAUGCAAAAGAGCAGUGGGUUCAGACCCUGUGCCUCCUGCCCAAAUCUUAGAGAAAAGAAAACUCAGUGGAACCACAAUCCACCUAAAAUUAACCCCACCUGCUAAAAUAGGAGUCCUAUUGCAUUUAGAGUUGCUUAUCUUUCUCACCAGACAUAGGCAGCAGAUAUACUAGCUGGUAAUCUCUCUACACUACUGAUCACUCUAAUGACUCAUGCAGACCCAUACUCCUGCUCUUUUGCCCCCAUCACAUAAUUCUCAGUGAAGAAACAAAAGUCUCUCAGCCAUUCUCCAUCCAUAGAUCAACCAAUUCAUUUCCACUUCUUUGUUACACGGUGCUUCCAUUCCACCAUGAUCAAGGAGUCAUCAAGAAGUCAGACACAUGGGUGUCUGACUUCAUUUGAGAUGAUCCUUAAUCUAGUCCUGUAGUAAAAAAUAAAAUUCAGUUGCCCAACAGUCAACCAAAAGGAAGCCCUGUCUGACAGAGUAGGCACUACAUUAUACCUAGAGUCCCCCACCACAAAACCCUAUGGUUGUGGCAUGUUUCUUUCUAACCAUUCUUCUAUCCUUAUGUUUCACACAAUUUAAGUCCAAAAACAUCAAUUUCAUUUUCCCUGUUUCUUCCUCCAUAAUAUACUUACAUGCACAAAAAGAUACACAAACACACACAAAAGAGGAAAAACAGAUCCACAGAUCAAACAUGAAUAAAUGAAAUGCAAAAUACUCAAUAACAUAGAGACUCAGUACAUUGCACAGACCAUGGUUUGUUAAACAUUUUAAAUGCCAGAAAAAAAUCUCAUUUUCUUAUACAAGUACUUUUUAAGGGAGACCUUGGAUUCUAUCAGGAUGAAUGCACAAUGAUCAUGGCAUUGUACCCUCUCUCUUGCUCCUUGCCUUGGCCACUUAGCAAAGAAAAUUGAAGGUAGAUUAAAGGUGCCUCUCUCUACUAGCAGGGGCACCACAUUGCAUACAUAGUUGCCAACCCAUAAGCACAGAGGUGUGGAAACACCACUACCAACAUGCUCCCUGAGACCAAGCAGGGUUGGGAUAUAUAGUCAGAGGGCAGGUCUUCUCACUCAAUUUGUAAGUUGCAUGUUUUCCAUCAAUGAAUGGGUCAAGGGUUGGUCUCUCAUUUCCCACUUAAAGAAAGUCAACAUUUCUUUCCCAGGCUUUGCAACUCAGGGCUAUCUUUACUAUAGGAUCAAGUAGAAUGAAAUUAGGACUCUACUUACAAAAAUUUACUUCUUGGAUUACUCCUAUAACAAAGACCAAAUAUUGAAUCAUGACUCAGCUUGAAAGUGACUACCAAGAGUACUACACAGUGCCCCAUCACAAAGUAUAAAGGUAUUAUUGGAUUCUAGACCAGUGAAAUUUGACCAAUACUCAAAAGCAGAAAAAAGAAAACACAUUAAAACCACAAUUGAAAUUUAAAAAAAGGAAAACAAAUGAGGAAAUAGGUCUCAAUUAAAACAGACUUCUUUCAUUUUUCAAGGAAGAUCAGUGGUGGGAAAAUGAAGUUUUCAGGCAUUGUUCAAACAUAGGACCACCAGUCUGUUUCGCUUACUUUGUGACAUAUGGUUUCCAUUUUAACCUAACCUAGGAGCAGUCUACAUGAAUGUGUUCUGCCAGGUUGAAUGCUCCAUGACCAAGCACUCUAGCAAAGGAAAUUCACUUUCCCAGUAGUCAAUCAAAAGGGAUCCUGUCUGACAGAGUAGGCAUCACAUUGCACCCAUAGUCCCUGAAGUAGCAACUAAGGGGUGGGGACAUUCUUUAUAACUUUUAUUCUUCUAUCCUUGUUGGAUUUGAAUUCACUGAUACAGAGGCUUCCUUUCUCUCUUCUUUGACCUCCAACCCACGACUGUCAGUAAAGUUUGGAUCAUCAUUUCUAAUAUCCUUUUUGUCAGACUUACUACAAUCUAAAUUCAAUGACAAUGGCCUUAGCAGCAUUUCACUCUUGUUUAGCUUCCCACACCAAAACAUCAUGCAAAUUGCAAAGGUUACUCAAUUAUUCUCUACCCAUAGGAGAAUCAGUUUAAUUCCUCUUCUUUGAGACACAGUUCUUCAAUUCUGAUGGAAUCCAAGAGACAUCCACUUAAGUGUCGACCCACAUGUCAGUUGCUCCUUAAACAAGACCUUGGGAAAAGGAAAUUCAUUCCCCUAAGAGCAAGAAAAAAGGUAAUCCGGUCUGAAAGGUGAGAACCCAUAUUGCACCAUUAGAUGUCCACCUUGCAUCAAAAUAUGGGGGCAACAUUUCUGAUUUCCAUAAUACCAAUGUUGCUAGCCUCUUAAUUAAUUGAUAUUGAGGCUUUCUCUUUUGCUUUGCUCUGCCACCAACACUUAAUAAUCAGAAAAAACCCAGUGGUUUUCCAAAAGUUUAUCCUGGGUAGGACAACUGGUUUGCUUUGACAUUCUGACACAUUGUUUCACAAAUGAAAGUGCAGGGAUUCAGGAAACAUUGCUGAUAUCAUUACAGGAAACUUCAACAGUUGCUGAAUUCAUUAACAACAAAGAAUUCUUCAUUUCAUUCCUGUACCAUCAAAACAUUCACCAUCAUUCAAUGACACAGGUUUCUCAGCUAUUCCAGGCCCCUAGGGGGACCAGUUUCUAUUCACUCCUUUGUCACAUGAAGCUUCGAUUUCACCAUUAACCAAGAGACAUGAACAUGAUUGUUCCAUGACAAGAAGAUGCAACUUCAAGCCCUAUAGCAAAGGAAAUUCACCCUAUAAACAAUCAUUAAAUAGGGAAUCUGGCCAGGCAGGAUUAACAAACCCUGAACUCAAAAUUUCCUAAAUUGUAGCCCAGGUAUAGGGGCACUAUUUCUGAUAUUCUUUAUCUACAACUUAUUGAUUUACACACUCAUUGACAGAAAAGCUUCCUUUAAUGAUUUCCUCUGGCCUCCAACACGAAAUCCUCAAUUGAAUAUCUUAGGUAUUUCAGUAAUUCUCCUGCCAUAGGGUCACCGGAGUAUUUCCAAACCCUUGUCACGUGAAGCUUCCAUUCUAUCAUACCUCAGGAUGCUUCCACACAGUUCUUUCAUGGAAUUUGGAAGAUUCUGAUUGAAUACAUAUAGCAAAGGAAUUUCACUCUCCCAACACACAACAAAUAUGGAAACUUAUCUAACAGGGAUUACACCAUAUUACACCCGAAAUCUCCCACCUAGUAGCCCAGAGGUGUGGGCAAUAUUCCUAAUAUUCUUUCUUUACAACAUAAACGGUCCAUUCAUUGAAAGCAAGACUUCUUUAAUUCAUUCUUUUGUCUUCCAAAGAUAAAUCCUCAGGUGAAAAGAUAUGGUUGUCAACCAUUCUCUUCCCCUAGAUCCACCUGUACUUUCCACUCAUUUGUCACAUAAGACUUCCAUUCCACCAUAACUUGGUGCUUCCACACACUUCUUUCAUGGAUGGUGGGACCUUCGAUGGAAACCCUAGAGCAAAGGAAUUUCACUCUCCCAAUAGUAAACAUAUAAGGAACACUGUCUAAUAGGGAGAACACCAUAUUUCAUUGAAAGUCAGCCACCUUGCAGCCCAGAGGUGGGGGCAAUAUUUCUAAUGUUCAUUCUAUACAACUUAUUAGGCACUCCAUUAAUUGACAGCGAGACUUCUUUUAAUUCGUUCUUCAGUCUUCCAAAGAUAAAUCCUCAGAUAGCAAGAUCAGGUUUGUCAACCAUUCUCCUCCCGUAGGGCCACUGGUUUGGUUCCACUCCUUUGUCACAUGAGGCAUCCAUUCCACCAUAACACAGAAUGCUUACACACAGCUCUUCAUGGACUGUGGGAGAUUCUGGUUGAAGCCCUGUAGAAAAAGAAUUUCACAUUCCCAAUUGUCAACAAAUAAGGAACCCUGUGUAACAGGGAUGAGACCAUAUUUCACCUGAAGUCUCCAAACUUCCAGCCCUGAGAAGGGGGCAAUAUUUCUAAUAAUCUCUCUAUACAAAAUGUAAGACUCUCCAUUCAUGGCCAGUGAGACUUCCGUUAAAAUUUUCUUCUAGCCUCCAAACGUUAACACUCAUAUAAAAAGAUCAGGUUUGUCAACAAUUCUCCUUCUCUAGGGCCACAGAUUAGUUUACACUCCUUUGUCACAUGAGACUUUCAUUCCAUCAAAACUCAGGAUGCCCCUUCAUGGUUCUUAGAUGAGCUGUGGAAGAUGUUGAUUGAAGCCCUGUAGCAAAGGAAAUUCACUCUCCCAACAGUCAACAAAUGAGGAACUUUGUCUAAAAAGGAUGACCACAUUUCACCUGAAGUCUCCCAACUUGCAGCCCCAGGGUAAGGGCAAUAUUUCUCAUUUUCUUUUUAUACAAUUUAAUAGACUCUCCAUUCAUUGACAGUGAGACUUCUUUUAAUUCUUUCUUCUGGAUUCAAACCCUAAAACCUCAGGUGAAAAGCUCAGGUUUGUCGAUAAUUCUCUUCCAAAUGGGCCACCAGUUUGUUUCCACUCCUUGUCACAUGAGACUUCCAUUCCACCUCAAUACAGAAUGUUUCCACAUCUCUCUUACAUGUAAUGUGGAAGCAUUCUAGCAAAGGAAUUUCACUGUUCCAACAGUCAACAAAUAAGGAACCCUGUCUAACAGGGAUGACACCACAUUUCAAGUGAAGUCUCCCACCUUGCAGCCCUGAGAUGGGGGCAAUAUUUCUAAUAAUCUCCCUAUACACCUUGUAAAAUUCUCCAUUAAUUGAUAGUGAGGCUUAUGUUAAAAAUUUCUUUAACCUCCAACCUUUUUCCUCAGUUUAAAAGCUCAGGUCUCUCAACAAUUGUCCAUCUGUAGGGCCACCGGUUUAUUUCUACUACUUUGUCACAUGAGACAUUCAUUCCAUCAAAGCUCAGGAUGCAUCUUCAUGGUUCAUAGAUGAGCUGAGGAAGAUGCAGAUUGAUGCCCUGUACCAAGGAAAUUCACUCUCCCAACAGUCAAAAAAUGAGUAAUCUUGUCUAACAAGGAUGACACAACAUUUCACCCAAAGUCUCCGAACUUGCAGCCCUAAGACGAGGGCAAGAUUUCCAUUACUCUCUCUAUACAGCUUGUUACACUCUCCAUUCAUUGACAGCGAGGCUUCCAUUUACAUUUUCUUUUAGACUCCAACCCUUAUUCCUCAGUUUAAAAGCUCAGGUUUCUCACCAAUUCUCCUUCUGUAGGGCCACCGGUUUGUUUCCACUCCUUUGUUACAUGAGGCUUCCAUUCCAUCAAAACUCAGGAUGCAUCUUCAUGGUUCUUAGAUGAGCUGUGGAAGAUGCUGAUUGAAGCCCUGUAAGACAGGAAAUUCACUCUCCCAACAGUCAAAAAAUAUGGAACCUUGUCUCCCAAGGAUGACACCAUAUUUCACCUGAAGUCUCCCACCUAGCAGCCCAGGGGUGGGGGCAAUAUUUCUCAUUUGCUUUUUUGCAACUUAUUAGACUCUCUAUUCAUUAACAGAGAGAAUUCUUUUACUUCUAUCUCCUGUUUUCCAAACAUAAAUCCUCAGGUUAAAAGAUCAGGUUUGUCAACCAUUCUCCUCCUGUAGGGCCACCGGUUUGUUUCCACUCCGUUGUUACAUGAGGCUUCCAUUCCAUCGAAACUCAGAAUGCACCUUCAUGGUUCUUAGAUGAGCUGUGGAAGAUGCUGAUUGAAGCCCUGUAAGAAAGGAAAUUCACUCGCCCAACAGUCAAAAAAUAAGGAACCUUGUCUAACAAGGAUGACACCACAUUUCACCUGAAGUCUCCCACCUGGCAGCCCAGGGGUGGGGGCAAUAUUUCUCAUUUGCUUUUUAUACUACUUAUUAGACUCUCCAUUCAUUAACAGUGAGAAUUCUUUUACUUCUAUCUCCUGUUUUCCAAACAUAAAUCCUCAGGUUAAAAGAUCAGGUUUGUCAACCAUUCCCCUCCCGUAGGGCCACCGGUUUGUUUCCACUCCUUUGUCACAUGAGGCUUCCAUUCCACCAUAAAUCAGGAUGUUUCCACAGAGCUCUUCAAGGGACUGUGGGAGAUUCUGCUUGAAGCCCUGUAGCAAAAGAAUUUCACUCUCCCAACAGUCAACAAAUAAGGAACCCUGUCUAACAGGGAUGACACCACAUUUCACCUGAAGUCUCCCACCUUGCAGCCCUGAGAUGGGGGCAAUAUUUCUAAUAAUCACUCUAUACAACAUGUUAGACUCUCCUUUCAUUGACAGCGAGGCUUCCUUUUACAUUUUCUUUUAGCCUCCAAACCUUAUUCCUCUGUUUAAAACCUCAAGUUUGUCAACAAUUGUCCAUCUGUAGGGCCACUGGUUUGUUUCAACUCUUUUGUCACAUGAGACUUUCAUUCCAUCAAAACUCAGGAUGCUUCUUCAUGGUUCUUAGAUGAGCUGGGGAAGAUGCUGAUUGAAACCCUACAGCAAAGUUAAUUCACUCUCCCAACAGUCAAAAUAUAAGGAACCUUGUCUCCCAAGGAUGACACCACAUUUCUUCUGAAUUCUCCCACCUGGCAGCCUAGGGUUGGGGGCAAUAUUUCUCAUUUUCUUUUUAUACUACUUAUUUGACUCUCCAUUCAUUGACAAUGAGACUUCUUUUAAUUCUUUCUUCUGUCUUCCAAACAUAAAUCCUCAGGUUAAAAGAUCUGGUUAGUCAACCAUUCUCCUCCCGUAGGGCCACCGGUUUGUUUCCACUCCUUUGUUACAUGAGGCUUCUACUCCAUCAAAACUCAGGAUGCAUCUUCAUGGUUCUUAGAUGAGCUGUGGAAGAUGCUGAUUGAAGCCCUGUAAGAAAGGAAAUUCACUCUCCCAACAGUCAAAAAAUAAGGAACCUUGUCUAACAAGGAUGACACCACAUUUCACCUGAAGUCUCCCACCUGGCAGCCCAGGGGUGGGGGCAAUAUUUCUCAUUUGCUUUUUAUACUACUUAUUAGACUCUCCAUUCAUUGACAGCGAGGCUUCUUUCAAUUCUUUUUCUGUCUUCCAAACAUAAAUCCUCAGGUUAAAAGAUCUGGUUAGUCAACCAUUCUCCUCCCGUAGGGCCACCGGUUUGUUUCCACUCCUUUGUUACAUGAGGCUUCUAUUCCAUCAAAACUCAGGAUGCAUCUUCAUGGUUCUUAGAUGAGCUGGGGAAGAUGCUGAUUGAAGUCCUGUAGCAAAGGAAAUUCACUCUCCCAACAGUCAACAAAUAAGGAACCCUGUCUAACAGGGAUGACACCACAUAUGCACCGAAGUCUCCCACUUUGCAGCCCAAGGGUGGGGGCAAUAUUUCCAUUACUCUCUCUAUACAGCUUGUUAGACUCUCCAUUCAUUGACAGCGAGGCUUCCAUUUACAUUUUCUUUUAGCCUCCAACCCUUAUUCCUCAGUUUAAAAGCUCAGGUUUCUCACCAAUUCUCCUUCUGUAGGGCCACCGGUUUAUUUCCACUCCUUUGUUACAUGAGGCUUCCAUUCCAUCAAAACUCAGGAUGCAUCUUCAUGGUUCUUAGAUGAGCUGUGGAAGAUGCUGAUUGAAGCCCUGUAAGAAAGGAAAUUCACUCUCCCAACAGUCAACAAAUUAGGAACCUUGUCUAACAAGGUGACACCACAUAUCACCUGAAGUCUCCCACCUAGCAGCCCAGGGGUGGGGGCAAUAUUUCUCAUUUGCUUUUUAUGCAACUUAUUAGACUCUCUAUUCAUUAACAGAGAGAAUUCUUUUACUUCUAUCUCCUGUUUUCCAAACAUAAAUCCUCAGGUUAAAGAUCAGGUUUGUCAACCAUUCUCCUCCUGUAGGGCCACCGGUUUGUUUCCACUCCGUUGUUACAUGAGGCUUCCAUUCCAUCGAAACUCAGAAUGCACCUUCAUGGUUCUUAGAUGAGCUGUGGAAGAUGCUGAUUGAAGCCCUGUAAGAAAGGAAAUUCACUCUCCCAACAGUCAAAAAAUAAGGAACCUUGUCUAACAAGGAUGACACCACAUUUCACCUGAAGUCUCCCACCUGGCAGCCCAGGGGUGGGGGCAAUAUUUCUCAUUUGCUUUUUAUACUACUUAUUAGACUCUCCAUUCAUUAACAGUGAGAAUUCUUUUACUUCUAUCUCCUGUUUUCCAAACAUAAAUCCUCAGGUUAAAAAUCAGGUUUGUCAACCAUUCUCCUCCCGUAGGGCCACCGGUUUGUUUCCACUCCUUUGUCACAUGAGGCUUCCAUUCCACCAUAAAUCAGGAUGUUUCCACAGAGCUCUUCAAGGGACUGUGGGAGAUUCUGGUUGAAGCCCUGUAGCAAAAGAAUUUCACUCUCCCAACAGUCAACAAAUAAGGAACCCUGUCUAACAGGGAUGACACCACAUUUCACCUGAAGUCUCCCACCUUGCAGCCCUGAGAUGGGGGCAAUAUUUCUAAUAAUCACUCUAUACAACUUGUUAGACUCUCCUUUCAUUGACAGCGAGGCUUCCUUUUACAUUUUCUUUUAGCCUCCAAACCUUAUUCCUCUGUUUAAAACCUCAAGUUUGUCAACAAUUGUCCAUCUGUAGGGCCACUGGUUUGUUUCAACUCUUUUGUCACAUGAGACUUUCAUUCCAUCAAAACUCAGGAUGCUUCUUCAUGGUUCUUAGAUGAGCUGGGGAAGAUGCUGAUUGAAACCCUACAGCAAAGUUAAUUCACUCUCCCAACAGUCAAAAUAUAAGAAACUUUAUCUCACAAGGAUGACACCACAUUUCUUCUGAAUUCUCCCACCUGGCAGCCUAGGGUUGGGGGCAAUAUUUCUCAUUUUCUUUUUAUACUACUUAUUUGACUCUCCAUUCAUUGACAAUGAGACUUCUUUUAAUUCUUUCUUCUGUCUUCCAAACAUAAAUCCUCAGGUUAAAAGAUCUGGUUAGUCAACCAUUCUCCUCCCGUAGGGCCACCGGUUUGUUUCCACUCCUUUGUUACAUGAGGCUUCUAUUCCAUCAAAACUCAGGAUGCAUCUUCAUGGUUCUUAGAUGAGCUGUGGAAGAUGCUGAUUGAAGCCCUGUAAGAAAGGAAAUUCACUCUCCCAACAGUCAAAAAAUAAGGAACCUUGUCUAACAAGGAUGACACCACAUUUCACCUGAAGUCUCCCACCUGGCAGCCCCGGGGUGGGGGCAAUAUUUCUCAUUUGCUUUUUAUACUACUUAUUAGACUCUCCAUUCAUUGACAGCAAGGCUUCUUUCAAUUCUUUUUCUGCCUUCCAAACAUAAAUCCUCAGGUUAAAAGAUCUGGUUAGUCAACCAUUCUCCUCCCGUAGGGCCACCGGUUUGUUUCCACUCCUUUCUUACAUGAGGCUUCUAUUCCAUCAAAACUCAGGAUGCAUCUUCAUGGUUCUUAGAUGAGCUGGGGAAGAUGCUGAUUGAAGUCCUGUAAGAAAGGAAAUUCACUCUCCCAACAGUCAACAAAUAAGGAACCCUGUCUAACAGGGAUGACACCACAUAUGCACCGAAGUCUCCCACUUUGCAGCCCAGGGUUGGGGGCAAUAUUUCCAUUACUCUCUCUAUACAGCUUGUUAGACUCUCCAUUCAUUGACAGCGAGGCUUCCAUUUACAUUUUCUUUUAGCCUCCAACCCUUAUUCCUCAGUUUAAAAGCUCAAGUUUCUCACCAAUUCUCCUUCUGUAGGGCCACCGGUUUAUUUCCACUCCUUUGUUACAUGUGGCUUCCAUUCCAUCAAAACUCAGGAUGCAUCUUCAUGGUUCUUAGAUGAGCUGUGGAAGAUGCUGAUUGAAGCCCUGUAAGAAAGGAAAUUCACUCUCCCAACAGUCAACAAAUCAGGAACCUUGUCUAACAAGGUGACACCACAUAUCACCUGAAGUCUCCAACCUAGCAGCCCAGGGGUGGGGGCAAUAUUUCUCAUUUGCUUUUUAUGCAACUUAUUAGACUCUCUAUUCAUUAAGAGAGAGAAUUCUUUUACUUCUAUCUCCUGUUUUCCAAACAUAAAUCCUCAGGUUAAAAGAUCAGGUUUGUCAACCAUUCUCCUCCUGUAGGGCCACCGGUUUGUUUCCACUCCGUUGUUACAUGAGGCUUCCAUUCCAUCGAAACUCAGAAUGCACCUUCAUGGUUCUUAGAUGAGCUGUGGAAGAUGCUGAUUGAAGCCCUGUAAGAAAGGAAAUUUACUCUCCCAACAGUCAAAAAAUAAGGAACCUUGUCUAACAGGGAUGACACCACAUAUUACCUGAAGUCUCCCACCUGGCAGCCCAGGGUUGGGGGCAAUAUUUCUCAUUUCCUUUUUAUACUACUUAUUAGACUCUCAAUUCAAUAACAGUGAGAAUUCUUUUACUUCUAUCUCCUCUUUUCCAAACAUAAAUCCUGAGGUUAAAAGAUCAGGUUUGUCAACCAUUCUCCUCCCGUAGGGCCACCAGUUUGUUUCCACUCCUUUGUCACAUGAGGCUUCCAUUCCACCAUAAAUCAGGAUGUUUCCACAGAGCUCUUCAAGGGACUGUGGGAGAUUCUGGUUGAAGCCCUGUAGCAAAAGAAUUUCACUCUCCCAACAGUCAACAAAUAAGGAACCCUGUCUAACAGGGAUGACACCACAUUUCACCUGAAGUCUCCCACCUUGCAGCCCUGAGAUGGGGGCAAUAUUUCUAAUAAUCACUCUAUACAACUUGUUAGACUCUCCUUUCAUUGACAGCGAGGCUUCCUUUUACAUUUUCUUUUAGCCUCCAAACCUUAUUCCUCUGUUUAAAACCUCAAGUUUGUCAACAAUUGUCCAUCUGUAGGGCCACUGGUUUGUUUCAACUCUUUUGUCAAAUGAGACUUUCAUUCCAUCAAAACUCAGGAUGCUUCUUCAUGGUUCUUAGAUGAGCUGGGGAAGAUGCUGAUUGAAACCCUACAGCAAAGUUAAUUCACUCUCCCAACAGUCAAAAUAUAAGGAACCUUGUCUCCCAAGGAUGACACCACAUUUCUUCUGAAUUCUCCCACCUGGCAGCCUAGGGUUGGGGGCAAUAUUUCUCAUUUUCUUUUUAUACUAUUUAUUUGACUCUCCAUUCAUUGACAGAGAGAAUUCUUUUAAUUCUUUCUUCUGUCUUCCAAACAUAAAUCCUCAGGUUAAAAGAUCUGGUUAGUCAACCAUUCUCCUCCCGUAGGGCCACCGGUUUGUUUCCACUCCUUUGUUACAUGAGGCUUCUAUUCCAUCAAAACUCAGGAUGCAUCUUCAUGGUUCUUAGAUGAGCUGGGGAAGAUGCUGAUUGAAGUCCUGUAGCAAAGGAAAUUCACUCUCCCAACAGUCAACAAAUAAGGAACCCUGUCUAACAGGGAUGACACCACAUAUGCACCGAAGUCUCCCACUUUGCAGCCCAGGGUUGGGGGCAAUAUUUCCAUUACUCUCUCUAUACAGCUUGUUAGACUCUCCAUUCAUUGACAGCGAGGCUUCCAUUUACAUUUUCUUUUAGCCUCCAACCCUUAUUCCUCAGUUUAAAAGCUCAGGUUUCUCACCAAUUCUCCUUCUGUAGGGCCACCGGUUUAUUUCCACUCCUUUGUUACAUGAGGCUUCCAUUCCAUCAAAACUCAGGAUGCAUCUUCAUGGUUCUUAGAUGAGCUGUGGAAGAUGCUGAUUGAAGCCCUGUAAGAAAGGAAAUUCACUCUCCCAACAGUCAACAAAUCAGGAACCUUGUCUAACAAGGUGACACCACAUAUCACCUGAAGUCUCCCACCUAGCAGCCCAGGGGUGGGGGCAAUAUUUCUCAUUUGCUUUUUAUGCAACUUAUUAGACUCUCUAUUCAUUAAGAGAGAGAAUUCUUUUACUUCUAUCUCCUGUUUUCCAAACAUAAAUCCUCAGGUUAAAAGAUCAGGUUUGUCAACCAUUCUCCUCCUGUAGGGCCACCGGUUUGUUUCCACUCCGUUGUUACAUGAGGCUUCCAUUCCAUCGAAACUCAGAAUGCACCUUCAUGGUUCUUAGAUGAGCUGUGGAAGAUGCUGAUUGAAGCCCUGUAAGAAAGGAAAUUCACUCUCCCAACAGUCAAAAAAUAAGGAACCUUGUCUAACAAGGAUGACACCACAUUUCACCUGAAGUCUCCCACCUGGCAGCCCAGGGGUGGGGGCAAUAUUUCUCAUUUCCUUUUUAUACUACUUAUUAGACUCUCCAUUCAUUAACAGUGAGAAUUCUUUUACUUCUAUCUCCUGUUUUCCAAACAUAAAUCCUCAGGUUAAAAAUCAGGUUUGUCAACCAUUCUCCUCCUGUAGGGCCACCGGUUUGUUUCCACUCCUUUGUCACAUGAGGCUUCCAUUCCACCAUAAAUCAGGAUGUUUCCACAGAGCUCUUCAAGGGACUGUGGGAGAUUCUGGUUGAAGCCCUGUAGCAAAAGAAUUUCACUCUCCCAACAGUCAACAAAUAAGGAACCCUGUCUAACAGGGAUGACACCACAUUUCACCUGAAGUCUCCCACCUUGCAGCCCUGAGAUGGGGGCAAUAUUUCUAAUAAUCACUCUAUACAACUUGUUAGACUCUCCUUUCAUUGACAGCGAGGCUUCCUUUUACAUUUUCUUUUAGCCUCCAAACCUUAUUCCUCUGUUUAAAACCUCAAGUUUGUCAACAAUUGUCCAUCUGUAGGGCCACUGGUUUGUUUCAACUCUUUUGUCACAUGAGACUUUCAUUCCAUCAAAACUCAGGAUGCUUCUUCAUGGUUCUUAGAUGAGCUGGGGAAGAUGCUGAUUGAAACCCUACAGCAAAGUUAAUUCACUCUCCCAACAGUCAAAAUAUAAGGAACCUUGUCUCCCAAGGAUGACACCACAUUUCUUCUGAAUUCUCCCACCUGGCAGCCUAGGGUUGGGGGCAAUAUUUCUCAUUUUCUUUUUAUACUACUUAUUUGACUCUCCAUUCAUUGACAAUGAGACUUCUUUUAAUUCUUUCUUCUGUCUUCCAAACAUAAAUCCUCAGGUUAAAAGAUCUGGUUAGUCAACCAUUCUCCUCCCGUAGGGCCACCGGUUUGUUUCCACUCCUUUGUUACAUGAGGCUUCUAUUCCAUCAAAACUCAGGAUGCAUCUUCAUGGUUCUUAGAUGAGCUGUGGAAGAUGCUGAUUGAAGCCCUGUAAGAAAGGAAAUUCACUCUCCCAACAGUCAAAAAAUAAGGAACCUUGUCUAACAAGGAUGACACCACAUUUCACCUGAAGUCUCCCACCUGGCAGCCCAGGGGUGGGGGCAAUAUUUCUCAUUUGCUUUUUAUACUACUUAUUAGACUCUCCAUUCAUUGACAGCGAGGCUUCUUUCAAUUCUUUUUCUGCCUUCCAAACAUAAAUCCUCAGGUUAAAAGAUCUGGUUAGUCAACCAUUCUCCUCCCGUAGGGCCACCGGUUUGUUUCCACUCCUUUCUUACAUGAGGCUUCUAUUCCAUCAAAACUCAGGAUGCAUCUUCAUGGUUCUUAGAUGAGCUGGGGAAGAUGCUGAUUGAAGCCCUGUAGCAAAGGAAAUUCACUCUCCCAACAGUCAACAAAUAAGGAACCCUGUCUAACAGGGAUGACACCACAUAUGCACCAAAGUCUCCCACUUUGCAGCCCAGGGGUGGGGGCAAUAUUUCCAUUACUCUCUCUAUACAGCUUGUUAGACUCUCCAUUCAUUGACAGCGAAGCUUCCAUUUACAUUUUCUUUUAGCCUCCAACCCUUAUUCCUCAGUUUAAAAGCUCAGGUUUCUCACCAAUUCUCCUUCUGUAGGGCCACCCAUUUAUUUCCACUCCUUUGUUACAUGAGGCUUCCAUUCCAUCAAAACUCAGGAUGCAUCUUUAUGGUUCUUAGAUGAGCUGUGGAAGAUGCUGAUUGAAGCCCUGUAAGAAAGGAAAUUCACUCUCCCAACAGUCAACAAAUCAGGAACCUUGUCUAACAAGGUGACACCACAUAUCACCUGAAGUCUCCGACCUGGCAGCCCAGGGAUGGGGGCAAUAUUUCUCAUUUGCUUUUUAUACAACUUAUUAGACUCUCCAUACAUUAACAGAGAGAAUUCUAUUACUUCUAUCUCCUGUUUUCCAAACAUAAAUCCUCAGGUUAAAAGAUCAGGUUUGUCAACCAUUCUCCUCCUGUAGGGCCACCGGUUUGUUUCCACUCCUUUGUUACAUGAGGCUUCCAUUCCAUCAAAACUCAGGAUGCAUCUUCAUGGUUCUUAGAUGAGCUGGGGAAGAUGCUGAUUGAAGCCCUGUAGCAAAGGAAAUUCACUCCCCCAACAGUCAACAAAUAAGGAACCCUGUCUAACAGGGAUGACACCACAUAUGCACCGAAGUCUCCCACUUUGCAGCCCAGGGGUGGGGGCAAUAUUUCCAUUACUCUCUCUAUACAGCUUGUUAGACUCUCCAUUCAUUGACAGCGAGGCUUCCAUUUACAUUUUCUUUUAGCCUCCAACCCUUAUUCCUCAGUUUAAAAGCUCAGGUUUCUCACCAAUUCUCCUCCCGUAGGGCCACCAGUUUGUUUCCACUCCUUUGUCACAUGAGGCUUCCAUUCCACCAUAAAUCAGGAUGUUUCCACAGAGCUCUUCAAGGGACUGUGAGAGAUUCUGGUUGAAGCCCUGUAGCAAAAGAAUUUCACUCUCCCAACAGUCAACAAAUAAGGAACCCUGUCUAACAGGGAUGACACCACAUUUCACCUGAAGUCUCCCACCUUGCAGCCCUGAGAUGGGGGCAAUAUUUCUAAUAAUCACUCUAUACAACUUGUUAGACUCUCCUUUCAUUGACAGCGAGGCUUCCUUUUACAUUUUCUUUUAGCCUCCAAACCUUAUUCCUCUGUUUAAAACCUCAAGUUUGUCAACAAUUGUCCAUUUGUAGGGCCACUGGUUUGUUUCAACUCUUUUGUCACAUGAGACUUUCAUUCCAUCAAAACUCAGGAUGCUUCUUCAUGGUUCUUAGAUGAGCUGGGGAAGAUGCUGAUUGAAACCCUACAGCAAAGUUAAUUCACUCUCCCAACAGUCAAAAUAUAAGAAACUUUAUCUCACAAGGAUGACACCACAUUUCUUCUGAAUUCACCCACCUGGCAGCCUAGGGUUGGGGGCAAUAUUUCUCAUUUUCUUUUUAUACUACUUAUUUGACUCUCCAUUCAUUGACAAUAAGACUUCUUUUAAUUCUUUCUUCUGUCUUCCAAACAUAAAUCCUCAGGUUAAAAGAUCUGGUUAGUCAACCAUUCUCCUCCCGUAGGGCCACCGGUUUGUUUCCACUCCUUUGUUACAUGAGGCUUCUAUUCCAUCAAAACUCAGGAUGCAUCUUCAUGGUUCUUACAUGAGCUGUGGAAGAUGCUGAUUGAAGCCCUGUAAGAAAGGAAAUUCACUCUCCCAACAGUCAAAAAAUAAGGAACCUUGUCUAACAAGGAUGACACCACAUUUCACCUGAAGUCUCCCACCUGGCAGCCCAGGGGUGGGGGCAAUAUUUCUCAUUUGCUUUUUAUACUACUUAUUAGACUCUCCAUUCAUUGACAGCGAGGCUUCUUUCAAUUCUUUUUCUGCCUUCCAAACAUAAAUCCUCAGGUUAAAAGAUCUGGUUAGUCAACCAUUCUCCUCCCGUAGGGCCACCGGUUUGUUUCCACUCCUUUCUUACAUGAGGCUUCUAUUCCAUCAAAACUCAGGAUGCAUCUUCAUGGUUCUUAGAUGAGCUGGGGAAGAUGCUGAUUGAAGUCCUGUAAGAAAGGAAAUUCACUCUCCCAACAGUCAACAAAUAAGGAACCCUGUCUAACAGGGAUGACACCACAUAUGCACCGAAGUCUCCCACUUUGCAGCCCAGGGUUGGGGGCAAUAUUUCCAUUACUCUCUCUAUACAGCUUGUUAGACUCUCCAUUCAUUGACAGCGAGGCUUCCAUUUACAUUUUCUUUUAGCCUCCAACCCUUAUUCCUCAGUUUAAAAGCUCAAGUUUCUCACCAAUUCUCCUUCUGUAGGGCCACCGGUUUAUUUCCACUCCUUUGUUACAUGUGGCUUCCAUUCCAUCAAAACUCAGGAUGCAUCUUCAUGGUUCUUAGAUGAGCUGUGGAAGAUGCUGAUUGAAGCCCUGUAAGAAAGGAAAUUCACUCUCCCAACAGUCAACAAAUCAGGAACCUUGUCUAACAAGGUGACACCACAUAUCACCCGAAGUCUCCCACCUAGCAGCCCAGGGGUGGGGGCAAUAUUUCUCAUUUGCUUUUUAUGCAACUUAUUAGACUCUCUAUUCAUUAAGAGAGAGAAUUCUUUUACUUCUAUCCCCUGUUUUCCAAACAUAAAUCCUCAGGUUAAAAGAUCAGGUUUGUCAACCAUUCUCCUCCUGUAGGGCCACCGGUUUGUUUCCACUCCGUUGUUACAUGAGGCUUCCAUUCCAUCGAAACUCAGAAUGCACCUUCAUGGUUCUUAGAUGAGCUGUGGAAGAUGCUGAUUGAAGCCCUGUAAGAAAGGAAAUUUACUCUCCCAACAGUUAAAAAAUAAGGAACCUUGUCUAACAGGGAUGACACCACAUAUUACCUGAAGUCUCCCACCUGGCAGCCCAGGGGUGGGGGCAAUAUUUCUCAUUUCCUUUUUAUACUAUUUAUUAGACUCUCAAUUCAAUAACAGUGAGAAUUCUUUUACUUCUAUCUCCUGUUUUCCAAACAUAAAUCCUGAGGUUAAAAGAUCAGGUUUGUCAACCAUUCUCCUCCCGUAGGGCCACCGGUUUGUUUCCACUCCUUUGUCACAUGAGGCUUCCAUUCCACCAUAAAUCAGGAUGUUUCCACAGAGCUCUUCAAGGGACUGUGGGAGAUUCUGGUUGAAGCCCUGUAGCAAAAGAAUUUCACUCUCCCAACAGUCAACAAAUAAGGAACCCUGUCUAACAGGGAUGACACCACAUUUCACCUGAAGUCUCCCACCUUGCAGCCCUGAGAUGGGGGCAAUAUUUCUAAUAAUCACUCUAUACAACUUGUUAGACUCUCCUUUCAUUGACAGCGAGGCUUCCUUUUACAUUUUCUUUUAGCCUCCAAACCUUAUUCCUCUGUUUAAAACCUCAAGUUUGUCAACAAUUGUCCAUCUGUAGGGCCACUGGUUUGUUUCAACUCUUUUGUCAAAUGAGACUUUCAUUCCAUCAAAACUCAGGAUGCUUCUUCAUGGUUCUUAGAUGAGCUGGGGAAGAUGCUGAUUGAAACCCUACAGCAAAGUUAAUUCACUCUCCCAACAGUCAAAAUAUAAGGAACCUUGUCUCCCAAGGAUGACACCACAUUUCUUCUGAAUUCUCCCACCUGGCAGCCUAGGGUUGGGGGCAAUAUUUCUCAUUUUCUUCUUAUACUACUUAUUUGACUCUCCAUUCAUUGACAGAGAGAAUUCUUUUAAUUCUUUCUUCUGUCUUCCAAACAUAAAUCCUCAGGUUAAAAGAUCUGGUUAGUCAACCAUUCUCCUCCCGUAGGGCCACCGGUUUGUUUCCACUCCUUUGUUACAUGAGGCUUCUAUUCCAUCAAAACUCAGGAUGCAUCUUCAUGGUUCUUAGAUGAGCUGUGGAAGAUGCUGAUUGAAGCCCUGUAAGAAAGGAAAUUCACUCUCCCAACAGUCAAAAAAUAAGGAACCUUGUCUAACAAGGAUGACACCACAUUUCACCUGAAGUCUCCCACCUGGCAGCCCAGGGGUGGGGGCAAUAUUUCUCAUUUGCUUUUUAUACUACUUAUUAGACUCUCCAUUCAUUGACAGCGAGGCUUCUUUCAAUUCUUUUUCUGCCUUCCAAACAUAAAUCCUCAGGUUAAAAGAUCUGGUUAGUCAAACAUUCUCCUCCCGUAGGGCCACCGGUUUGUUUCCACUCCUUUGUUACAUGAGGCUUCUAUUCCAUCAAAACUCAGGAUGCAUCUUCAUGGUUCUUAGAUGAGCUGGGGAAGAUGCUGAUUGAAGUCCUGUAGCAAAGGAAAUUCACUCUCCCAACAGUCAACAAAUAAGGAACCCUGUCUAACAGGGAUGACACCACAUAUGCACCAAAGUCUCCCACUUUGCAGCCCAGGGGUGGGGGCAAUAUUUCCAUUACUCUCUCUAUACAGCUUGUUAGACUCUCCAUUCAUUGACAGCGAGGCUUCUUUCAAUUCUUUUUCUGUCUUCCAAACAUAAAUCCUCAGGUUAAAAGAUCUGGUUAGUCAACCAUUCUCCUCCCAUAGGGCCACCGGAUUGUUUCCACUCCUUUGUCACAUGAGGCUUCCAUUCCACCAUAAAUCAGGAUGUUUCCACAGAGCUCUUCAAGGGACUGUGAGAGAUUCUGGUUGAAGCCCUGUAGCAAAAGAAUUUCACUCUCCCAACAGUCAACAAAUAAGGAACCCUGUCUAACAGGGAUGACACCACAUUUCACCUGAAGUCUCCCACCUUGCAGCCCUGAGAUGGGGGCAAUAUUUCUAAUAAUCACUCUAUACAACUUGUUAGACUCUCCUUUCAUUGACAGCGAGGCUUCCUUUUACAUUUUCUUUUAGCCUCCAAACCUUAUUCCUCUGUUUAAAACCUCAAGUUUGUCAACAAUUGUCCGUCUGUAGGGCCACUGGUUUGUUUCAACUCUUUUGUCACAUGAGACUUUCAUUCCAUCAAAACUCAGGAUGCUUCUUCAUGGUUCUUAGAUGAGCUGGGGAAGAUGCUGAUUGAAACCCUACAGCAAAGUUAAUUCACUCUCCCAACAGUCAAAAUAUAAGGAACCUUGUCUCCCAAGGAUGACACCACAUUUCACCUGAAGUCUCCCACCAGCAGCCCAGGGGUGGGGGAAAUAUUUCUCAUUUGCUUUUUAUACUACUUAUUAGACUCUCCAUUCAUUGACAGCGAGGCUUCUUUCAAUUCUUUUUCUGUCUUCCAAACAUAAAUCCUCAGGUUAAAAGAUCUGGUUAGUCAACCAUUCUCCUCCCGUAGGGCCACCGGUUUGUUUCCACUCCUUUGUCACAUGAGGCUUCCAUUCCACCAUAAAUCAGGAUGUUUCCACAGAGCUCUUCAAGGGACUGUGAGAGAUUCUGGUUGAAGCCCUGUAGCAAAAGAAUUUCACUCUCCCAACAGUCAACAAAUAAGGAACCCUGUCUAACAGGGAUGACAGCACAUUUCACCUGAAGUCUCCCACCUUGCAGCCCUGAGAUGGGGGCAAUAUUUCUAAUAAUCACUCUAUACAACUUGUUAGACUCUCCUUUCAUUGACAGCGAGGCUUCCUUUUACAUUUUCUUUUAGCCUCCAAACCUUAUUCCUCUGUUUAAAACCUCAAGUUUGUCAACAAUUGUCCGUCUGUAGGGCCACUGGUUUGUUUCAACUCUUUUGUCACAUGAGACUUUCAUUCCAUCAAAACUCAGGAUGCUUCUUCAUGGUUCUUAGAUGAGUUGGGGAAGAUGCUGAUUGAAACCCUACAGCAAAGUUAAUUCACUCUCCCAACAGUCAAAAUAUAAGGAACCUUGUCUCCCAAGGAUGACACCACAUUUCACCUGAAGUCUCCCACCAGCAGCCCAGGGGUGGGGGAAAUAUUUCUCAUUUGCUUUUUAUACUACUUAUUAGACUCUCCAUUCAUUGACAGCGAGGCUUCUUUCAAUUCUUUUUCUGUCUUCCAAACAUAAAUCCUCAGGUUAAAAGAUUUGGUUAGUCAACCAUUCUCCUCCCGUAGGGCCACCGGUUUGUUUCCACUCCUUUGUUACAUGAGGCUUCUAUUCCAUCAAAACUCAGGAUGCAUCUUCAUGGUUCUUAGAUGAGCUGGGGAAGAUGCUGAUUGAAGCCCUGUAGCAAAGGAAAUUCACUCCCCCAACAGUCAACAAAUAAGGAACCCUGUCUAACAGGGAUGACACCACAUAUGCACCGAAGUCUCCCACUUUGCAGCCCAGGAGUGGGGGCAAUAUUUCCAUUACUCUCUCUAUACAGCUUGUUAGACUCCAUUCAUUGACAGCGAGGCUUCCAUUUACAUUUCCUUUUAGCCUCCAACCCUUACUCCUCAGUUUAAAAGCUCAGGUUUCUCACCAAUUCUCCUUCUGUAGGGCCACCGGUUUGUUUCCACUCCUUUGUUACAUGAGGCUUCCAUUCCAUCAAAACUCAGGAUGCAUCUUCAUGGUUCUUAGAUGAGCUGUGGAAGAUGCUGAUUGAAGCCCUGUAAGAAAGGAAAUUCACUCUCCCAACAGUCAACAAAUCAGGAACCUUGUCUAACAAGGAUGACACCACAUUUCACCUGAAGUCUACCACCUGGCAGCCCAGGGGUGGGGGCAAUAUUUCUCAUUUGCUUUUUAUACUACUUAUUAGACUCUCCGUUCAUUAACAGUGAGAAUUCUUUUACUUCUAUCUCCUGUUUUCCAAACAUAAAUCCUCAGGUUAAAAGAUCAGGUUUGUCAACCAUUCUCCUCCUGUAGGGCCACCGGUUUGUUUCCACUCCUUUGUCACAUGAGGCCUCCAUUCCACCAUAAAUCAGGAUGUUUCCACAGAGCUCUUCAAGGGACUGUGGGAGAUUCUGCUUGAAGCCCUGUAGCAAAAGAAUUUCACUCUCCCAACAGUCAACAAAUAAGGAACCCUGUCUAACAGGGAUGACACCACAUUUCACCUGAAGUCUUCCACCUUGCAGCCCUGAGAUGGGGGCAAUAUUUCUAAUAAUCACUCUAUACAACUUGUUAGACUCUCCUUUCAUUGACAGCGAGGCUUCCUUUUACAUUUUCUUUUAGCCUCCAAACCUUAUUCCUCUGUUUAAAACCUCAAGUUUGUCAACAAUUGUCCAUCUGUAGGGCCACUGGUUUGUUUCAACUCUUUUGUCACCUGAGACUUUCAUUCCAUCAAAACUCAGGAUGCUUCUUCAUGGUUCUUAGAUGAGCUGGGGAAGAUGCUGAUUGAAACCCUACAGCAAAGUUAAUUCACUCUCCCAACAGUCAAAAUAUAAGGAACCUUGUCUCCCAAGGAUGACACCACAUUUCUUCUGAAUUCUCCCACCUGGCAGCCUAGGGUUGGGGGCAAUAUUUCUCAUUUUCUUUUUAUACUACUUAUUUGACUCUCCAUUCAUUGACAAUGAGACUUCUUUUAAUUCUUUCUUCUGUCUUCCAAACAUAAAUCCUCAGGUUAAAAGAUCUGGUUAGUCAACCAUUCUCCUCCCGUAGGGCCACUGGUUUGUUUCCACUCCUUUGUUACAUGAGGCUUCUAUUCCAUCAAAACUCAGGAUGCAUCUUCAUGGUUCUUAGAUGAGCUGUGGAAGAUGCUGAUUGAAGCCCUGUAAGAAAGGAAAUUCACUCUCCCAACAGUCAAAAAAUAAGGAACCUUGUCUAACAAGGAUGACACCACAUUUCACCUGAAGUCUCCCACCUGGCAGCCCAGGGGUGGGGGCAAUAUUUCUCAUUUGCUUUUUAUACUACUUAUUAGACUCUCCAUUCAUUGACAGCGAGGCUUCUUUCAAUUCUUUUUCUGCCUUCCAAACAUAAAUCCUCAGGUUAAAAGAUCUGGUUAGUCAAACAUUCUCCUCCCGUAGGGCCACCGGUUUGUUUCCACUCCUUUGUUACAUGAGGCUUCUAUUCCAUCAAAACUCAGGAUGCAUCUUCAUGGUUCUUAGAUGAGCUGGGGAAGAUGCUGAUUGAAGUCCUGUAGCAAAGGAAAUUCACUCUCCCAACAGUCAACAAAUAAGGAACCCUGUCUAACAGGGAUGACACCACAUAUGCACCAAAGUCUCCCACUUUGCAGCCCAGGGGUGGGGGCAAUAUUUCCAUUACUCUCUCUAUACAGCUUGUUAGACUCUCCAUUCAUUGACAGCGAGGCUUCUUUCAAUUCUUUUUCUGUCUUCCAAACAUAAAUCCUCAGGUUAAAAGAUCUGGUUAGUCAACCAUUCUCCUCCCGUAGGGCCACCGGAUUGUUUCCACUCCUUUGUUACAUGAGGCUUCCAUUCCAUCAAAACUCAGGAUGCAUCUUCAUGGUUCUUAGAUAAGCUGUGGAAGAUGCUGAUUGAAGCCCUGUAAGAAAGGAAAUUCACUCUCCCAACAGUCAACAAAUCAGGAACCUUGUCUAACAAGGAUGACACCAUAUGUCACCUGAAGUCUCCCACCUGGCAGCCCAGGGGUGGGGGCAAUAUUUCUCAUUUGCUUUUUAUACUACUUAUUAGACUCUCCGUUCAUUAACAGUGAGAAUUCUUUUACUUCUAUCUUCUGUUUUCCAAACAUAAAUCCUCAGGUUAAAAAUCAGGUUUGUCAACCAUUCUCCUCCCGUAGGGCCACCAGUUUGUUUCCACUCCUUUGUCACAUGAGGCUUCCAUUCCACCAUAAAUCAGGAUGUUUCCACAGAGCUCUUCAAGGGACUGUGAGAGAUUCUGGUUGAAGCCCUGUAGCAAAAGAAUUUCACUCUCCCAACAGUCAACAAAUAAGGAACCCUGUCUAACAGGGAUGACACCACAUUUCACCUGAAGUCUCCCACCUUGCAGCCCUGAGAUGGGGGCAAUAUUUCUAAUAAUCACUCUAUACAACUUGUUAGACUCUCCUUUCAUUGACAGCGAGGCUUCCUUUUACAUUUUCUUUUAGCCUCCAAACCUUAUUCCUCUGUUUAAAACCUCAAGUUUGUCAACAAUUGUCCGUCUGUAGGGCCACUGGUUUGUUUCAACUCUUUUGUCACAUGAGACUUUCAUUCCAUCAAAACUCAGGAUGCUUCUUCAUGGUUCUUAGAUGAGCUGGGGAAGAUGCUGAUUGAAACCCUACAGCAAAGUUAAUUCACUCUCCCAACAGUCAAAAUAUAAGGAACCUUGUCUCCCAAGGAUGACACCACAUUUCACCUGAAGUCUCCCACCAGCAGCCCAGGGGUGGUGGAAAUAUUUCUCAUUUGCUUUUUAUACUACUUAUUAGACUCUCCAUUCAUUGACAGCGAGGCUUCUUUCAAUUCUUUUUCUGUCUUCCAAACAUAAAUCCUCAGGUUAAAAGAUCUGGUUAGUCAACCAUUCUCCUCCCGUAGGGCCACCGGUUUGUUUCCACUCCUUUGUCACAUGAGGCUUCCAUUCCACCAUAAAUCAGGAUGUUUCCACAGAGCUCUUCAAGGGACUGUGAGAGAUUCUGGUUGAAGCCCUGUAGCAAAAGAAUUUCACUCUCCCAACAGUCAACAAAUAAGGAACCCUGUCUAACAGGGAUGACAGCACAUUUCACCUGAAGUCUCCCACCUUGCAGCCCUGAGAUGGGGGCAAUAUUUCUAAUAAUCACUCUAUACAACUUGUUAGACUCUCCUUUCAUUGACAGCGAGGCUUCCUUUUACAUUUUCUUUUAGCCUCCAAACCUUAUUCCUCUGUUUAAAACCUCAAGUUUGUCAACAAUUGUCCGUCUGUAGGGCCACUGGUUUGUUUCAACUCUUUUGUCACAUGAGACUUUCAUUCCAUCAAAACUCAGGAUGCUUCUUCAUGGUUCUUAGAUGAGUUGGGGAAGAUGCUGAUUGAAACCCUACAGCAAAGUUAAUUCACUCUCCCAACAGUCAAAAUAUAAGGAACCUUGUCUCCCAAGGAUGACACCACAUUUCACCUGAAGUCUCCCACCAGCAGCCCAGGGGUGGGGGAAAUAUUUCUCAUUUGCUUUUUAUACUACUUAUUAGACUCUCCAUUCAUUGACAGCGAGGCUUCUUUCAAUUCUUUUUCUGUCUUCCAAACAUAAAUCCUCAGGUUAAAAGAUUUGGUUAGUCAACCAUUCUCCUCCCGUAGGGCCACCGGUUUGUUUCCACUCCUUUGUUACAUGAGGCUUCUAUUCCAUCAAAACUCAGGAUGCAUCUUCAUGGUUCUUAGAUGAGCUGGGGAAGAUGCUGAUUGAAGCCCUGUAGCAAAGGAAAUUCACUCCCCCAACAGUCAACAAAUAAGCAACCCUGUCUAACAGGGAUGACACCACAUAUGCACCGAAGUCUCCCACUUUGCAGCCCAGGAGUGGGGGCAAUAUUUCCAUUACUCUCUCUAUACAGCUUGUUAGACUCCAUUCAUUGACAGCGAGGCUUCCAUUUACAUUUCCUUUUAGCCUCCAACCCUUACUCCUCAGUUUAAAAGCUCAGGUUUCUCACCAAUUCUCCUUCUGUAGGGCCACCGGUUUGUUUCCACUCCUUUGUUACAUGAGGCUUCCAUUCCAUCAAAACUCAGGAUGCAUCUUCAUGGUUCUUAGAUGAGCUGUGGAAGAUGCUGAUUGAAGCCCUGUAAGAAAGGAAAUUCACUCUCCCAACAGUCAAAAAAUAAGGAACCUUGUCUAACAAGGAUGACACCACAUUUCACCUGAAGUCUACCACCUGGCAGCCCAGGGGUGGGGGCAAUAUUUCUCAUUUGCUUUUUAUACUACUUAUUAGACUCUCCGUUCAUUAACAGUGAGAAUUCUUUUACUUCUAUCUCCUGUUUUCCAAACAUAAAUCCUCAGGUUAAAAGAUCAGGUUUGUCAACCAUUCUCCUCCUGUAGGGCCACCGGUUUGUUUCCACUCCUUUGUCACAUGAGGCCUCCAUUCCACCAUAAAUCAGGAUGUUUCCACAGAGCUCUUCAAGGGACUGUGGGAGAUUCUGCUUGAAGCCCUGUAGCAAAAGAAUUUCACUCUCCCAACAGUCAACAAAUAAGGAACCCUGUCUAACAGGGAUGACACCACAUUUCACCUGAAGUCUUCCACCUUGCAGCCCUGAGAUGGGGGCAAUAUUUCUAAUAAUCACUCUAUACAACUUGUUAGACUCUCCUUUCAUUGACAGCGAGGCUUCCUUUUACAUUUUCUUUUAGCCUCCAAACCUUAUUCCUCUGUUUAAAACCUCAAGUUUGUCAACAAUUGUCCAUCUGUAGGGCCACUGGUUUGUUUCAACUCUUUUGUCACCUGAGACUUUCAUUCCAUCAAAACUCAGGAUGCUUCUUCAUGGUUCUUAGAUGAGCUGGGGAAGAUGCUGAUUGAAACCCUACAGCAAAGUUAAUUCACUCUCCCAACAGUCAAAAUAUAAGGAACCUUGUCUCCCAAGGAUGACACCACAUUUCUUCUGAAUUCUCCCACCUGGCAGCCUAGGGUUGGGGGCAAUAUUUCUCAUUUUCUUUUUAUACUACUUAUUUGACUCUCCAUUCAUUGACAAUGAGACUUCUUUUAAUUCUUUCUUCUGUCUUCCAAACAUAAAUCCUCAGGUUAAAAGAUCUGGUUAGUCAACCAUUCUCCUCCCGUAGGGCCACUGGUUUGUUUCCACUCCUUUGUUACAUGAGGCUUCUAUUCCAUCAAAACUCAGGAUGCAUCUUCAUGGUUCUUAGAUGAGCUGUGGAAGAUGCUGAUUGAAGCCCUGUAAGAAAGGAAAUUCACUCUCCCAACAGUCAAAAAAUAAGGAACCUUGUCUAACAAGGAUGACACCACAUUUCACCUGAAGUCUCCCACCUGGCAGCCCAGGGGUGGGGGCAAUAUUUCUCAUUUGCUUUUUAUACUACUUAUUAGACUCUCCAUUCAUUGACAGCGAGGCUUCUUUCAAUAAUUUUUAUGCCUUCCAAACAUAAAUCCUCAGGUUAAAAGAUCUGGUUAGUCAACCAUUCUCCUCCCGUAGGGCCACCGGUUUGUUUCCACUCCUUUGUUACAUGAGGCUUCUAUUCCAUCAAAACUCAGGAUGCAUCUUCAUGGUUCUUAGAUGAGCUGGGGAAGAUGCUGAUUGAAGUCCUGUAGCAAAGGAAAUUCACUCUCCCAACAGUCAACAAAUAAGGAACCCUGUCUAACAGGGAUGACACCACAUAUGCACCAAAGUCUCCCACUUUGCAGCCCAGGGGUGGGGGCAAUAUUUCCAUUACUCUCUCUAUACAGCUUGUUAGACUCUCCAUUCAUUGACAGCGAGGCUUCCAUUUACAUUUUCUUUUAGCCUCCAACCCUUAUUCCUCAGUUUAAAAGCACAGGUUUCUCACCAAUUCUCCUUCUGUAGGGCCACCCGUUUAUUUCCACUCCUUUGUUACAUGAGGCUUCCAUUCCAUCAAAACUCAGGAUGCAUCUUCAUGGUUCUUAGAUGAGCUGUGGAAGAUGCUGAUUGAAGCCCUGUAAGAAAGGAAAUUCACUCUCCGAACAGUCAAAAAAUAAGGAACCUUGUCUAACAAGGAUGACACCACAUGUCACCUGAAGUCUCCCACCUGGCAGCCCAGGGGUGGGGGCAAUAUUUCUCAUUUGCUUUUUAUACUACUUAUUAGACUCUCCAUUCAUUGACAGCGAGGCUUCUUUCAAUUCUUUUUCUGUCUUCCAAACAUAAAUCCUCAGGUUAAAAGAUCUGGUUAGUCAACCAUUCUCCUCCCGUAGGGCCACCGGAUUGUUUCCACUCCUUUUUUACAUGAGGCUUCCAUUCCAUCAAAACUCAGGAUGCAUCUUCAUGGUUCUUAGAUAAGCUGUGGAAGAUGCUGAUUGAAGACCUGUAAGAAAGGAAAUUCACUCUCCCAACAGUCAAAAAAUAAGGAACCUUGUCUAACAAGGAUGACACCAUAUGUCACCUGAAGUCUCCCACCUGGCAGCCCAGGGGUGGGGGCAAUAUUUCUCAUUUGCUUUUUAUACUACUUAUUAGACUCUCCGUUCAUUAACAGUGAGAAUUCUUUUACUUCUAUCUUCUGUUUUCCAAACAUAAAUCCUCAGGUUAAAAGAUCAGGUUUGUCUACCAUUCUCCUCCCGUAGGGCCACCAGUUUGUUUCCACUCCUUUGUCACAUGAGGCUUCCAUUCCACCAUAAAUCAGGAUGUUUCCACAGAGCUCUUCAAGGGACUGUGAGAGAUUCUGGUUGAAGCCCUGUAGCAAAAGAAUUUCACUCUCCCAACAGUCAACAAAUAAGGAACCCUGUCUAACAGGGAUGACACCACAUAUGCACCGAAGUCUCCCACUUUGCAGCCCAGGGGUGGGGGCAAUAUUUCCAUUACUCUCUCUAUACAGCUUGUUAGACUCUCCAUUCAUUGUCAGCGAGGCUUCCAUUUACUUUUCCUUUUAGCCUCCAACCCUUAUUCCUCAGUUUAAAAGCUCAGGUUUCUCACCAAUUCUCCUUCUGUAGGUCCACCGGUUUGUUUCCACUCCUUUGUUACAUGAGGCUUCUAUUCCAUCAAAACUCAGGAUGCAUCUUCAUGGUUCUUAGAUGAGCUGUGGAAGAUGCUGAUUGAAGCCCUGUAAGAAAGGAAAUUCACUCUCCCAACAGUCAAAAAAUAAGGAACCUUGUCUAACAAGGUGACACCACAUAUCACCUGAAGUCUCCCACCUGGCAGCCCAGGGAUGGGGGCAAUAUUUCUCAUUUGCUUUUUAUACAACUUAUUAGACUCUCCAUUCAUUAACAGAGAGAAUUCUUUUACUUCUAUCUCCUGUUUUCCAAACAUAAAUCCUCAGGUUAAAAGAUCAGGUUUCUCACCAAUUCUCCUCCUGUAGGGCCACCGGUUUGUUUCCACUCCUUUGUUACAUGAGGCUUCCAUUCCAUCAAAACUCAGGUUGCAUCUUCAUGGUUCUUAGAUGAGCUGUGGAAGAUGCUGAUUGAAGCCCUGUAAGAAAGGAAAUUCACUCCCCCAACAGUCAACAAAUAAGGAACCCUGUCUAACAGGGAUGACACCACAUAUGCACCGAAGUCUCCCACUUUGCAGCCCAGGAGUGGGGGCAAAAUUUCCAUUACUCUCUCUAUACAGCUUGUUAGACUCCAUUCAUUGACAGCGAGGCUUCCAUUUACAUUUCCUUUUAGCCUCCAACCCUUAUUCCUCAGUUUAAAAGCUCAGGUUUCUCACCAAUUCUCCUUCUGUAGGGCCACUGGUUUGUUUCCACUCCUUUGUUACAUGAGGCUUCUAUUCCAUCAAAACUCAGGAUGCAUCUUCAUGGUUCUUAGAUGAGCUGUGGAAGAUGCUGAUUGAAGCCCUGUAAGAAAGGAAAUUCACUCUCCCAACAGUCAAAAAAUAAGGAACCUUGUCUAACAAGGUGACACCACAUAUCACCUGAAGUCUCCCACCUGGCAGCCCAGGGAUGGGGGCAAUAUUUCUCAUUUGCUUUUUAUACAACUUAUUAGACUCUCCAUUCAUUAACAGAGAGAAUUCUUUUACUUCUAUCUCCUGUUUUCCAAACAUAAAUCCUCAGGUUAAAAGAUCAGGUUUGUCAACCAUUCACCUCCUGUAGGGCCACCGGUUUGUUUCCACUCCUUUGUCACAUGAGGCUUCCAUUCCACCAUAAAUCAGGAUGUUUCCACAGAGCUCUUCAAGGGACUGUGGGAGAUUCUGCUUGAAGCCCUGUAGCAAAAGAAUUUCACUCUCCCAACAGUCAACAAAUAAGGAACCCUGUCUAACAGGGAUGACAGCACAUUUCACCUGAAGUCUCCCACCUUGCAGCCCUGAGAUGGGGGCAAUAUUUCUAAUAAUCACUCUAUACAACUUGUUAGACUCUCCUUUCAUUGACAGCGAGGCUUCCUUUUACAUUUUCUUUUAGCUUCCAAACCUUAUUUCUCUGUUUAAAACCUCAAGUUUGUCAACAAUUGUCCAUCUGUAGGGCCACUGCUUUGUUUCAACUCUUUUGUGACAUGAGACUUUCAUUCCAUCAAAACUCAGGAUGCUUCUUCAUGGUUCUUAGAUGAGCUGGGGUAGAUGCUGAUUGAAACCCUACAGCAAAGAUAAUUCACUCUCCCAACAGUCAAAAUAUAAGGAACCUUGUCUCCAAAUGUUGACACCACAUUUCUUCUGAAUUCUCCCACCUGGCAGCCUAGUGUUGGGGGCAAUAUUUCUCAUUUGCUUUUUAUACAACUUAUUAGACUCUCCAUUCAUUAACAGAGAGAAUUCUUUUACUUCUAUCUCCUGUUUUCCAAACAUAAAUCCUCAGGUUAAAAGAUCAGGUUUGUCAACCAUUCUCCUCCUGUAGGGCCACCGGUUUGUUUCCACUCCUUUGUUACCUGAGGCUUCCAUUCCAUCAAAACUCAGGAUGCAUCUUCAUGGUUCUUAGAUGAGCUGGGGAAGAUGCUGAUUGAAGCCCUGUAGCAAAGGAAAUUCACUCCCCCAACAGUCAACAAAUAAGGAACCCUGUCUAACAGGGAUGACACCACAUAUGCACCGAAGUCUCCCACUUUGCAGCCCAGGGGUGGGGGCAAUAUUUCCAUUGCUCUCUCUAUACAGCUUGUUAGACUCUCCAUUCAUUGACAGCGAGGCUUCCAUUUACAUUUUCUUUUAGCCUCCAACCCUUAUUCCUCAGUUUAAAAGCUCAGGUUUCUUACCAAUUCUCCUUCUGUAAGGCCACCGGUUUGUUUCCACUCCUUUGUUACAUGAGGCUUCCAUUCCAUCAAAACUCAGGAUGCAUUCAUGGUUCUUUGAUGAGCUGUGGAAGAUGCUGAUUGAAGCCCUGUAAGAAAGGAAAUUCACUCUCCCAACACUCAACAAAUCAGGAACCUUGUCUAACAAGGUGACACCACAUAUCACCUGAAGUCUCCCACCUGGCAGCCCAGGGAUGGGGGCAAUAUUUCUCAUUUGAUUUUUAUACAACUUAUAAGACUCUCCAUUCAUUAACAGAGAGAAUUCUUUUACUUCUAUCUCCUGUUUUCCAAACAUAAAUCCUCAGGUUAAAAGAUCAGGUUUGUCAACCAUUCUCCUCCUGUAGGGCCACCGGUUUGUUUCCACUCCUUUGUCACAUGAGGCCUCCAUUCCACCAUAAAUCAGGAUGUUUCCACAGAGCUCUUCAAGGGACUGUGGGAGAUUCUGCUUGAAGCCCUGUAGCAAAAGAAUUUCACUCUCCCAACAGUCAACAAAUAAGGAACCCUGUCUAACAGGGAUGACACCACAUUUCACCUGAAGUCUUCCACCUUGCAGCCCUGAGAUGGGGGCAAUAUUUCUAAUAAUCACUCUAUACAACUUGUUAGACUCUCCUUUCAUUGACAGCGAGGCUUCCUUUUACAUUUUCUUUUAGCCUCCAAACCUUAUUCCUCUGUUUAAAACCUCAAGUUUGUCAACAAUUGUCCAUCUGUAGGGCCACUGGUUUGUUUCAACUCUUUUGUCACCUGAGACUUUCAUUCCAUCAAAACUCAGGAUGCUUCUUCAUGGUUCUUAGAUGAGCUGGGGAAGAUGCUGAUUGAAACCCUACAGCAAAGUUAAUUCACUCUCCCAACAGUCAAAAUAUAAGGAACCUUGUCUCCCAAGGAUGACACCACAUUUCUUCUGAAUUCUCCCACCUGGCAGCCUAGGGUUGGGGGCAAUAUUUCUCAUUUUCUUUUUAUACUACUUAUUUGACUCUCCAUUCAUUGACAAUGAGACUUCUUUUAAUUCUUUCUUCUGUCUUCCAAACAUAAAUCCUCAGGUUAAAAGAUCUGGUUAGUCAACCAUUCUCCUCCCGUAGGGCCACCGGUUUGUUUCCACUCCUUUGUUACAUGAGGCUUCUAUUCCAUCAAAACUCAGGAUGCAUCUUCAUGGUUCUUACAUGAGCUGUGGAAGAUGCUGAUUGAAGCCCUGUAAGAAAGGAAAUUCACUCUCCCAACAGUCAAAAAAUAAGGAACCUUGUCUAACAAGGAUGACACCACAUUUCACCUGAAGUCUCCCACCUGGCAGCCCAGGGGUGGGGGCAAUAUUUCUCAUUUGCUUUUUAUACUACUUAUUAGACUCUCCAUUCAUUGACAGCGAGGCUUCUUUCAAUAAUUUUUAUGCCUUCCAAACAUAAAUCCUCAGGUUAAAAGAUCUGGUUAGUCAACCAUUCUCCUCCCGUAGGGCCACCGGUUUGUUUCCACUCCUUUGUUACAUGAGGCUUCUAUUCCAUCAAAACUCAGGAUGCAUCUUCAUGGUUCUUAGAUGAGCUGGGGAAGAUGCUGAUUGAAGUCCUGUAGCAAAGGAAAUUCACUCUCCCAACAGUCAACAAAUAAGGAACCCUGUCUAACAGGGAUGACACCACAUAUGCACCAAAGUCUCCCACUUUGCAGCCCAGGGGUGGGGGCAAUAUUUCCAUUACUCUCUCUAUACAGCUUGUUAGACUCUCCAUUCAUUGACAGCGAGGCUUCCAUUUACAUUUUCUUUUAGCCUCCAACCCUUAUUCCUCAGUUUAAAAGCACAGGUUUCUCACCAAUUCUCCUUCUGUAGGGCCACCCGUUUAUUUCCACUCCUUUGUUACAUGAGGCUUCCAUUCCAUCAAAACUCAGGAUGCAUCUUCAUGGUUCUUAGAUGAGCUGUGGAAGAUGCUGAUUGAAGCCCUGUAAGAAAGGAAAUUCACUCUCCGAACAGUCAAAAAAUAAGGAACCUUGUCUAACAAGGAUGACACCACAUGUCACCUGAAGUCUCCCACCUGGCAGCCCAGGGGUGGGGGCAAUAUUUCUCAUUUGCUUUUUAUACUACUUAUUAGACUCUCCAUUCAUUGACAGCGAGGCUUCUUUCAAUUCUUUUUCUGUCUUCCAAACAUAAAUCCUCAGGUUAAAAGAUCUGGUUAGUCAACCAUUCUCCUCCCGUAGGGCCACCGGAUUGUUUCCACUCCUUUUUUACAUGAGGCUUCCAUUCCAUCAAAACUCAGGAUGCAUCUUCAUGGUUCUUAGAUAAGCUGUGGAAGAUGCUGAUUGAAGACCUGUAAGAAAGGAAAUUCACUCUCCCAACAGUCAAAAAAUAAGGAACCUUGUCUAACAAGGAUGACACCAUAUGUCACCUGAAGUCUCCCACCUGGCAGCCCAGGGGUGGGGGCAAUAUUUCUCAUUUGCUUUUUAUACUACUUAUUAGACUCUCCGUUCAUUAACAGUGAGAAUUCUUUUACUUCUAUCUUCUGUUUUCCAAACAUAAAUCCUCAGGUUAAAAGAUCAGGUUUGUCAACCAUUCUCCUCCCGUAGGGCCACCAGUUUGUUUCCACUCCUUUGUCACAUGAGGCUUCCAUUCCACCAUAAAUCAGGAUGUUUCCACAGAGCUCUUCAAGGGACUGUGAGAGAUUCUGGUUGAAGCCCUGUAGCAAAAGAAUUUCACUCUCCCAACAGUCAACAAAUAAGGAACCCUGUCUAACAGGGAUGACACCACAUAUGCACCGAAGUCUCCCACUUUGCAGCCCAGGGGUGGGGGCAAUAUUUCCAUUACUCUCUCUAUACAGCUUGUUAGACUCUCCAUUCAUUGUCAGCGAGGCUUCCAUUUACUUUUCCUUUUAGCCUCCAACCCUUAUUCCUCAGUUUAAAAGCUCAGGUUUCUCACCAAUUCUCCUUCUGUAGGUCCACCGGUUUGUUUCCACUCCUUUGUUACAUGAGGCUUCUAUUCCAUCAAAACUCAGGAUGCAUCUUCAUGGUUCUUAGAUGAGCUGUGGAAGAUGCUGAUUGAAGCCCUGUAAGAAAGGAAAUUCACUCUCCCAACAGUCAAAAAAUAAGGAACCUUGUCUAACAAGGUGACACCACAUAUCACCUGAAGUCUCCCACCUGGCAGCCCAGGGAUGGGGGCAAUAUUUCUCAUUUGCUUUUUAUACAACUUAUUAGACUCUCCAUUCAUUAACAGAGAGAAUUCUUUUACUUCUAUCUCCUGUUUUCCAAACAUAAAUCCUCAGGUUAAAAGAUCAGGUUUCUCACCAAUUCUCCUCCUGUAGGGCCACCGGUUUGUUUCCACUCCUUUGUUACAUGAGGCUUCCAUUCCAUCAAAACUCAGGUUGCAUCUUCAUGGUUCUUAGAUGAGCUGUGGAAGAUGCUGAUUGAAGCCCUGUAAGAAAGGAAAUUCACUCUCCCAACAGUCAAAAAAUAAGGAACCUUGUCUAACAAGGAUGACACCACAUUUCACCUGAAGUCUCCCACCUGGCAGCCCAGGGGUGGGGGCAAUAUUUCUCAUUUGCUUUUUAUACUACUUAUUAGACUCUCUGUUCAUUAACAGUGAGAAUUCUUUUACUUCUAUCUCCUGUUUUCCAAACAUAAAUCCUCAGAUUAAAAGAUCAGGUUUGUCAACCAUUCUCCUCCCGUAGGGCCACCAGUUUGUUUCCACUCCUUUGUCACAUGAGGCUUCCAUUCCACCAUAAAUCAGGAUGUUUCCACAGAGCUCUUCAAGGGACUGUGGGAGAUUCUGGUUGAAGCCCUGUAGCAAAAGAAUUUCACUCUCCCAACAGUCAACAAAUAAGUAACCCUGUCUAACAGGGAUGACACCACAUUUCACCUGAAGUCUCCCACCUUGCAGCCCUGAGAUGGGGGCAAUAUUUCUAAUAAUCACUCUAUACAACUUGUUAGACUCUCCUUUCAUUGACAGCGAGGCUUCCUUUUACAUUUUCUUUUAGCCUCCAAACCUUAUUCCUAUGUUUAAAACCUCAAGUUUGUCAACAAUUGUCCGUCUGUAGGGCCACUGGUUUGUUUCAACUCUUUUGUCACAUGAGACUUUCAUUCCAUCAAAACUCAGGAUGCUUCUUCAUGGUUCUUAGAUGAGCUGGGGAAGAUGCUGAUUGAAACCCUACAGCAAAGUUAAUUCACUCUCCCAACAGUCAAAAUAUAAGGAACCUUGUCUCCCAAGGAUGACACCACAUUUCACUUGAAGUCUCCCACCAGCAGCCCAGGCGUGGGGGAAAUAUUUCUCAUUUGCUUUUUAUACUACUUAUUAGACUCUCCAUUCAUUGACAGCGAGGCUUCUUUCAAUUCUUUUUCUGUCUUCCAAACAUAAAUCCUCAGGUUAAAAGAUCUGGUUAGUCAACCAUUCUCCUCCCGUAGGGCCACCGGUUUGUUUCCACUCCUUUGUUACAUGAGGCUUCUAUUCCAUCAAAACUCAGGAUGCAUCUUCAUGGUUCUUAGAUGAGCUGGGGAAGAUGCUGAUUGAAGCCCUGUAGCAAAGGAAAUUCACUCCCCCAACAGUCAACAAAUAAGGAACCCUGUCUAACAGGGAUGACACCACAUAUGCACCGAAGUCUCCCACUUUGCAGCCCAGGAGUGGGGGCAAAAUUUCCAUUACUCUCUCUAUACAGCUUGUUAGACUCCAUUCAUUGACAGCGAGGCUUCCAUUUACAUUUCCUUUUAGCCUCCAACCCUUAUUCCUCAGUUUAAAAGCUCAGGUUUCUCACCAAUUCUCCUUCUGUAGGGCCACUGGUUUGUUUCCACUCCUUUGUUACAUGAGGCUUCUAUUCCAUCAAAACUCAGGAUGCAUCUUCAUGGUUCUUAGAUGAGCUGUGGAAGAUGCUGAUUGAAGCCCUGUAAGAAAGGAAAUUCACUCUCCCAACAGUCAAAAAAUAAGGAACCUUGUCUAACAAGGUGACACCACAUAUCACCUGAAGUCUCCCACCUGGCAGCCCAGGGAUGGGGGCAAUAUUUCUCAUUUGCUUUUUAUACAACUUAUUAGACUCUCCAUUCAUUAACAGAGAGAAUUCUUUUACUUCUAUCUCCUGUUUUCCAAACAUAAAUCCUCAGGUUAAAAGAUCAGGUUUGUCAACCAUUCACCUCCUGUAGGGCCACCGGUUUGUUUCCACUCCUUUGUCACAUGAGGCUUCCAUUCCACCAUAAAUCAGGAUGUUUCCACAGAGCUCUUCAAGGGACUGUGGGAGAUUCUGCUUGAAGCCCUGUAGCAAAAGAAUUUCACUCUCCCAACAGUCAACAAAUAAGGAACCCUGUCUAACAGGGAUGACAGCACAUUUCACCUGAAGUCUCCCACCUUGCAGCCCUGAGAUGGGGGCAAUAUUUCUAAUAAUCACUCUAUACAACUUGUUAGACUCUCCUUUCAUUGACAGCGAGGCUUCCUUUUACAUUUUCUUUUAGCUUCCAAACCUUAUUUCUCUGUUUAAAACCUCAAGUUUGUCAACAAUUGUCCGUCUGUAGGGCCACUGCUUUGUUUCAACUCUUUUGUGACAUGAGACUUUCAUUCCAUCAAAACUCAGGAUGCUUCUUCAUGGUUCUUAGAUGAGCUGGGGUAGAUGCUGAUUGAAACCCUACAGCAAAGAUAAUUCACUCUCCCAACAGUCAAAAUAUAAGGAACCUUGUCUCCAAAUGUUGACACCACAUUUCUUCUGAAUUCUCCCACCUGGCAGCCUAGUGUUGGGGGCAAUAUUUCUCAUUUGCUUUUUAUACAACUUAUUAGACUCUCCAUUCAUUAACAGAGAGAAUUCUUUUACUUCUAUCUCCUGUUUUCCAAACAUAAAUCCUCAGGUUAAAAGAUCAGGUUUGUCAACCAUUCUCCUCCUGUAGGGCCACCGGUUUGUUUCCACUCCUUUGUUACCUGAGGCUUCCAUUCCAUCAAAACUCAGGAUGCAUCUUCAUGGUUCUUAGAUGAGCUGGGGAAGAUGCUGAUUGAAGCCCUGUAGCAAAGGAAAUUCACUCCCUCAACAGUCAACAAAUAAGGAACCCUGUCUAACAGGGAUGACACCACAUAUGCACCGAAGUCUCCCACUUUGCAGCCCAGGGGUGGGGGCAAUAUUUCCAUUGCUCUCUCUAUACAGCUUGUUAGACUCUCCAUUCAUUGACAGCGAGGCUUCCAUUUACAUUUUCUUUUAGCCUCCAACCCUUAUUCCUCAGUUUAAAAGCUCAGGUUUCUUACCAAUUCUCCUUCUGUAAGGCCACCGGUUUGUUUCCACUCCUUUGUUACAUGAGGCUUCCAUUCCAUCAAAACUCAGGAUGCAUUCAUGGUUCUUUGAUGAGCUGUGGAAGAUGCUGAUUGAAGCCCUGUAAGAAAGGAAAUUCACUCUCCCAACACUCAACAAAUCAGGAACCUUGUCUAACAAGGUGACACCACAUAUCACCUGAAGUCUCCCACCUGGCAGCCCAGGGAUGGGGGCAAUAUUUCUCAUUUGAUUUUUAUACAACUUAUAAGACUCUCCAUUCAUUAACAGAGAGAAUUCUUUUACUUCUAUCUCCUGUUUUCCAAACAUAAAUCCUCAUGUUAAAAGAUCAGGUUUGUCAACCAUUCUCCUCCUGUAGGGCCACCGGUUUGUUUCCACUCCUUUGUUAUAUGAGGCUUCCAUUCCAUCAAAACUCAGGAUGCAUCUUCAUGGUUCUUAGAUGAGCUGGGGAAGAUGCUGAUUGAAGCCCUGUAGCAAAGGAAAUUCACUCCCCCAACAGUCAACAAAUAAGGAACCCUGUCUAACAGGGAUGACACCACAUAUGCACCGAAGUCUCCCACUUUGCAGCCCAGGGGUGGGGGCAAUAUUUCAAUUGCUCUCUCCAUACAGCUUGUUAGACUCUCCAUUCAUUGACAGUGAGGCUUCCAUUUACAUUUUCUUUUAGCCUCCAACCCUUAUUCCUCAGUUUUAAAGCUCAGGUUUCUCACCAAUUCUCCUUCUGUAGGGCCACCGGUUUAUUUCCACUCCUUUGUUACAUGAGGCUUCCAUUCCAUCAAAACUCAGGAUGCAUCUUCAUGGUUCUUUGAUGAGCUGUGGAAGAUGCUGAUUGAAGCCCUGUAAGAAAGGAAAUUCACUCUCCCAACACUCAACAAAUCAGGAACCUUGUCUAACAAGGUGACACCACAUAUCACCUGAAGUCUCCCACCUGGCAGCCCAGGGAUGGGGGCAAUAUUUCUCAUUUGAUUUUUAUACAACUUAUAAGACUCUCCAUUCAUUAACAGAGAGAAUUCUUUUACUUCUAUCUCCUGUUUUCCAAACAUAAAUCCUCAGGUUAAAAGAUCAGGUUUGUCAACCAUUCUCCUCCUGUAGGGCCACCGGUUUGUUUCCACUCCUUUGUUAUAUGAGGCUUCCAUUCCAUCAAAACUCAGGAUGCAUCUUCAUGGUUCUUAGAUGAGCUGGGGAAGAUGCUGAUUGAAGCCCUGUAGCAAAGGAAAUUCACUCUCCCAACAGUCAAAAAAUAAGGAACCUUGUCUAACAAGGAUGACACCACAUAUCACCUGAAGUCUCCCACCUGGCAGCCCAGGGGUGGGGGCAAUAUUUCUCAUUUGCUUUUUAUACUACUUAUUAGACUCUCCGUUCAUUAACUGUGAGAAUUCUUUUACUUCUAUCUCCUGUUUUCCAAACAUAAAUCCUCAGGUUAAAAGACCAGGUUUGUCAAGCAUUCUCCUCCUGUAGGGCCACCGGUUUGUUUCUACUCCUUUGUCACAUGAGGCUUCCAUUCCACCAUAAAUCAGGAUGUUUCCACAGAGCUCUUCAAGGGACUGUGGGAGAUUCUGGUUGAAGCCCUGUAGCAAAAGAAUUUCACUCUCCCAACAGUCAACAAAGAAGGAACCCUGACUAACAGGGAUGGCACCACAUUUCACCUGAAGUCUCCCAUCUUGCAGCCCUGAGAUGGGGGCAAUAUUUCUAAUAAUCACUCUAUACAACUUGUUAGACUCUCCUUUCAUUGACAGCGAGGCUUCCUUUUUCAUUUUCUUUCAGUCUCCAAACCUUAUUCCUCUGUUUAAAACCUCAAGUUUGCCAACAAUUGUCCGUCUGUAGGGCCACUGUUUUGUUUCAACUCUUUUGUCAUAUGAGACUUUCAUUCCAUCAAAACUCAGGAUGCUUCUUCAUGGUUCUUAGAUGAGCUGGGGAAGAUGCUGAUUGAAACCCUGGAGCAAAGUUAAUUCACUCUCCCAACAGUCAAAAAAUAAGGAACCUUGUCUCCCAAGGAUGACACCACAUUUCACCUGAAGUCUCCCACCUGGCAGCCCAGGGGUGGGGGCAAUAUUUCUCAUUUUCUUUUUAUACUACUUAUUUGACGCUCCAUUCAUUGACAAUGAGACUUCUUUUAAUUCUUUCAUCUGUCUUCCAAACAUAAAUCCUCAGGUUAAAAGAUCUGGUUAGUCAACCAUUCUUCUCCCGUUGGGCCACCGGUUUGUUUCCACUCCUUUGUUACAUGAGGCUUCUAUUCCAUCAAAACUCAGGAUGCAUCUUCAUGGUUCUUAGAUGAGCUGGGGAAGAUGCUGAUUGAAGCCCUGUAGCAAAGGAAAUUCACUCUCCCAACAGUCAACAAAUAAGGAACCCUGUCUAACAGGGAUGACACCACAUAUGCACCGAAGUCUCCCACUUUGCAGCCCAGGGGUGGGGGCAAUAUUUCCAUUACUCUCUCUAUACAGCUUUUUAGACUCUCCUUUCAUUGACAGCGAGGCCUCCAUUUACAUUUUCUAUUAGCCUCCAACCCUUAUUCCUCAGUUUAAAAGCUCAGUUUUCUCACCAAUUCUCCUUCUGUAGGACCACCGGUUUGUUUCCACUCCUUUGUCACGAGGCUUCCAUUCCACCAUAAAUCAGGAUGUUUCCACAGAGGUCUUCAAGGGACUGUGGGAGAUUCUGGUUGAAGCCCGGUAGCAAAAGAAUUUCACUCUCCCAACAGUCAACAAAUAAGGAACCCUGUCUAACAGUAACCACAUUUCACCUGAAGUCUCCCACCUUGCAUCCCUGAGACGGGGACAAUAUUUCUAAUAAUCACUCUAUACAACUUGUUAGACUCUCCUUUCAUUGACAGCGAGGCUUCCUUUUACAUUUUCUUUUAGCCUCCAAACCUUAUUCCUCAGUUUAAAAGCUCAGGUUUCUCACCAAUUCUCCUUCUGUAGGGCCACCGGUUUGUUUCCACUCCUUUGUCACCUGAGACUUUCAUUCCAUCAAAACUCAGGAUGCCUCUUCAUGGUUCUUAGAUGAGCUGGGGAAGAUGCUGAUUGAAACCCUGUAGCAAAGGAAAUUCACUCCCCCAACAGUCAACCAAUCAGGAACCUUGUCUAACAAGGUGACACCACAUUUCACCUGAAGUCUUCCACUUUGCAGCCCAGGGGUGGGGGCAAUAUUUCUCAUUGCUUUUUAUACUACUUAUUAGACUCUCCAUUCAUUGACAGCGAGGCUUCUUUUAAUUCUUUUUCUGUCUUCCAAACAUAAAUCCUCAGCUUAAAAGAUCUGGUUAGUCAACCAUUCUCCUCCCGUAGGGCCACCGGUUUGUUUCCACUCCUUUGUUACAUGAGGCUUCUAUUCCAUCAAAACUCAGGAUGCAUCUUCAUGGUUCUUAGAUGAGCUGGGGAAGAUGCUGAUUGAAGCCCUGUAGCAAAGGAAAUUCACUCUCCCAACAGUCAACAUAUAAGGGACCCUGUCUAACAGGGAUGACACCACAUAUGCACCGAAGUCUCCCACUUUGCAGCCCAGGGGUGGGGGCAAUAUUUCCAUUACUCUCUCUAUACAGCUUGUUAGACUCUCCAUUCAUUGACAGCGAGGCUUCCAUUUACAUUUUCUUUUAGCCUUCAACCCUUAUUCCUCAGUUUAAAAGCUCAGGUUUCUCAUCAAUUCUCCUUCUGUAGGGCCACCGGUUUGUUUCCACUCCAUUGUUACAUGAGGCUUCCAUUCCAUCAAAACUCAGGAUGCAUCUUCAUGGUUCUUAGAUGAGCUGUGGAAGAUGCUGAUUGAAGCCCUGUAAGAAAGGAAAUUCACUCUCCCAACAGUCAAAAAAUAAGGAACCUUGUCUAACAAUGAUGACAUCACAUUUCACCUGAAGCAUCCCACCUGGCAGCCCAGGGGUGGGGGCAAUAUUUCUCAUUUGCUUUUUAUACUACUUAUUUGACUCUCCAUUCAUUGACAGCGAGGCUUCUUUUAAUUCUUUUUCUGUUUUCCAAACAUAAAUCCUCAGGUUAAAAGAUCUGGUUAGUCAACCAUUCUCCUCCCGUAGGGCCACCGGUUUGUUUCCACUCCUUUGUUACAUGAGGCUUCUAUUCCAUCAAAACUCAGGAUGCAUCUUCAUGGUUCUUAGAUGAGCUGGGGAAGAUGCUGAUUGAAGCCCUGUAGCAAAGGAAAUUCACUCCCCCAACACUCAACAAACAAGGAACCCUGUCUAACAGGUAUGACACCACAUUUCACCUGACGUCUCCCACAUUGGAGCCCUGAGAUGGGGGCAAUAUUUCUAAUAAUCACUCUAUACAACUUGUUAGACUCUCCUUUCAUUGACAGCGAGGCUUCCUUUUACAUUUUCUUUUAGCCUCCAAACCUUAUUCCUCUGUUUAAAACCUCAAGUUUGUCAACAAUUGUCCUUCUGUAGGGCCACAGGUUCGUUUUCACUUCUUUGUGACAUGAGGCUUUCAUUCCACCACAACUCAGAAUGUUUCCACAUUUCUCCUUCAUGUAAUGUGGAUGAUUCUGUUUUGAACCACUAUAGCAAAGGAAUUUCACUCUCCCAACAGUCAACAAAUAAGAAACCCUGUCUAACAGGGAUGACACCACAUAUCCCCUGAAGUCUCCCACUUUGCAGCCAAGGGAUUGGGGCAAUUUUUCUAUUAAUUGCUCUAUACACCUUUUAAGACUCUUCAUUCAUUGACAAGGAGACUUCUUUUAAUUGUUUCUUCCAAACUCAGGUUGCAUCUUCAUGGUUCUUAGAUGAGCUGUGGAAGAUGCUGAUUGAAGCCCUGUAACAGAAGAAUUUCAUUCUCCAAACAGUCAACAAAUAACGAACCCUGUCUAACAGGAAUGACACCAUAUUUCAUCUGAAGUCAGUCACCUUGCAGUCCAGAGGUGGGGGAAAUAUUUCUAAAGUUCUUUCUAUACAACUUUAACUGUCCAUUCAUUGGCAGAUUGAUUUCUUUUUGUUAUUUCUUCUGUCUUCCAAAGAUAAAUACUCAGGUGAAAAGAUCUGGUUUGUCCACCAUUCUCCUCCUGUAGAGCCUCCAGUUUGUUUUCUCUCCUUUGUCAUAUAAAACUUGAAUUCCACCAUAACCCAGGAGGCUUCCACACAGUUCUUUCAUGGAAUUUGGGAGAUUUGGAUUGUAGCCCUGUAGCAAAGGAAUUACACUCUCCCAACAAUCAAAAAAUAAAGAACCCUGUCUAACAGGGAUGAUACCACAUUGCACCUUACAUCUGCCACCUUGCAGCCCUGGGAUGGGGCAAUAUUUCUCAUUUUUUUUCUACAACUUAUUAGACUCUUCAUUCAUUAAUAGCAAGACUUCUUUUAAAUCUUUCUUCUGGCUUCCAACCCUAAAUUCUCAGGUGAAAAGCUCAGGUUAUUCUCCCAUUCUCCUCCUGUAGGGCCACCAGUUUGUUUCCAUUCCUUUGUCACAUGAGACUUCCAUAAAAGAAUUUCAUUCCCUCACAAAUAAGGAACCCUGUGUAACAGGGAUGACACCACAUUGCACCCGAAUUCUCCCACCUUGCAGCCUGGGUUGGAGGCAGUGUCCUUUAAUUCAGCCUUUUGACUUCUAACCUAAAAUCCUCAGUUGAAUAUCUCUGGUUUUUCAGCCAUUUUCCUGCCAUAUGUACACUCUUUUAUUUCCACUCGUUUUUCUCAUGAAGCUUCCUUUCCACCUAACCAUGGAUGCUUCCACCCGACUCUUUCAUGGCCUGUGGGAGAUUCUGGUUGAACCCUGUAGCAAAGAAAAUUCACUGUCCCCACAGUGACCACAUAAGGAACCGUGUGUAACAGGUAUGACAACUCAUUGCAUCCAAAGUCUCCCAGUUUGCAGCGUAGAGGUGGUGGCAAUAUUUCUGAUAUUCGUUUUGUUCACUCUUUUAUACUCCGUAGUCAUGGAGAGAGAGGCUUCUUUUAAUUCUUUCUUCUAGCCUCCAACACUAAAUCCUCAGUUUUGAAGCUCAGCUUUGUUAAUCAUUCUACUCCUGUGGGGCUACCAGUUUGUUUCUAUUCUUUUGUCACAUGAGAUUUCCAUUCCACUAAAACUCAGAAUGCCUCCUCAGAGUUCUUUCCUGAACUCUGGGAAAUACUGGUUGAAACCCUGUAGCAAAGGAAUUUCACUCUUCCCAAUAGUCAGCUAAUAAGAAACUAUGCCUAACAGGUUUUGCACCAUAUUCUACCAGAAGUCUCCUACCUUGCAUCCCAUGCAUUGCGGCAAUAUUUCUGAUACUCUUUCUCUACAACUUAUUACUUUUGCUACUAUUUGACUGCAAAGUUUUCUUUAAUGAUUUCCUAUAAAUUUCACCCCAAAAUCUUCAAUUGAAAAGCUCAGGUUUGUCAACCAUUCUCCUCCCGUAGGUCCACCAGUUUGUUUCUACUCCUUUGUCCCAUGAGGCUUCCUUUCCACCAUAACCCAGGAUGCUUCUCUCCGGUUCUUUCAUGGACUGUGGGAGAUUCUGGUUGAUGCCCUUUAGCAAAGGAAUUUCACUCUUUCCAAUAGUCAUCCAAUAAGGAACCCUGUCUAACAGUGAUGAGAAAGCUUUGUACCCCAAGCCUCUCCCCUUUCAGCCCCGGGGUGGAGGCAAUAUUUUUGAUAUUUUUUCUAUACAACUUAUUACUCUCUCCAGUCAUUGACAACGAACUUAAUUCUGUCCUCUAACUUCUAAACCUAAAUCCUACAUUGAAUAUCUCUGAUUUUUCAGCCAUUCUCCUUCUGAAGGGCCACAGGUUUGUUUCCACUCCUUUGUCACAUGAGGCUUCCAUUCCACGAUAACUCAGGAUUCUUUCACAUGGUUCUUUCAUGAGCUGUUGGAGAUACUGGUUGAAGGCCUGUAGGAAAGGAAAAUUCCUGUCCCAUCAGUGAGCCAAUAAAGAACCCUGUCUGAUAGGAUUUAUAUCACAUUGCAACUGAAGUCUCCCACCUUGCUGCCCAGGGUUGGGGGUACCAUUUCUCAUAUCCUUUUUCCGUAGCUAUUUAGUCUUUUCUUUCAUUGAUAGUAGGCUAACUUUAAAUUUUUCCUCUAGCCUCCAACCAAACAUCUUUUUUUAAAAUUCUCAGGUUUAUCAGCCAUUCUCCUACUGUAGGACCACUGGUUUGUUUCGACUUUUUUGUCACCUGAAGCUUCCAUUCUUCCAGCACUGAUUAGACCUCCACUUGGAUUUCUCUCCAGGUUUCAUGCUCAUUGACCAAGCCUUCCAAAAUAGGAAAUUCACUUUCCCAUCAGUUAUUCAAUAGGGAACCCUUUCUCACUGGCUUGAUACCACAUUGUUCCCAUAAGACCCCACCUUGUUCCUUGUUUCACUGUCUCAAUAAUCCAUCAACAGGGAACCCUUUCUGACAGUGAAGGUAACACAUUGCACCUGUAGUGUGCUUUGCAGCUCAACAUUAUUCUCAUCUUCUUUCUUUUGCAGCUAUUUCUACCCACUGUACUACCUGCUUGUUUCAGUUUUUUUAAGAUUUGGAUUUUCAUUUCUGUCUUUACUCUAUAUUCACUUUUUUUUUCUGCCAUUCUCCAUCUCAAUAUUCAUUCUAAAAGGGAACCCUUUUCUGGCCAUUUGAGUAACACUCUUCCUCUUAAUUCUUCUCUUGUUUCACCCUGUUUUGACUACCUUAUUUCUUGUCUUUUUCUUACUAUGCAUUUUAUCUCAUUCUUAAAGAUUUUUUUCUCUUUUCUCAUUUCCUUCGCCCAUAAUAAACAUAGUUAUACCCCUCUGUCUACUCGUACAGCUAUAGCCACAUAUACUUACGAAAUUUGGAACUUUGCCCAAAUUAAUCUAUCUUUUCAUCUUUGUGGAUCUUCUUAUUUGCUAUAGCUUCCAUUUUCAAAUCAAGCCCCUUUUUAAUAUCCAUACACUUUGCCCCUAUGGCAUUCCUUUCCACCAGUAUGAAAUUAAAACAUCUAAGGUGUAAACAACCCCUUCUCUCUUUUUCUUUGCCUUGAUCCCUUAGGAAAAGGCAAUCAGAGACAGGUCAAACCUACCUUUGUUUAUUUACUAAGUUAGGCACUGUAUUCCAACCGUAACCACCCCCAUCUCAAUAUAGUUUUAUAAACCUACUUGCUAAAGUGCUCUUUUAAGCCAAGCAGGGUCAUAUCUAAUCAGACUCCAUUUCUCAGUAGCAUGCCUUUUGUCAGUGAGCGGUCAGGCAUUCAUCUGCCAUGUGCUGGUUAUUUCCUUUUAUAUCUCAUUCUUUUUUACAGAGGACUCUCUUUACAGCCGAAUCAAGGUAGAAUGAAUAUGGGCUCCAUCUCCAUUUUAAUUUCCCCUUGUGUUGUCCCUAUAGCAAAGACCACACAUUGGGUUAUGGUUCAAUUCCAUGGUUACUUUGUCCGCUAGGGCAAUUACUUCAUUUCACCCAGGGUGCCUUACCUCUGAGCACAGACAUAUUGACCUACAUUCUCAUCUGUUCUCUGAAACCAAGGAGGGUUGUGAUAUCCAAUCAGAGUGCAGAUCUCCUGUCUCCAUUAUUCAGUGGCCAGGAUCUUGACAGUAUAUGGUUUUAUGUUUAUUUUGUUCACUAGCAGUAGUACUCCUUGGUUCUUUCCAAUUCUUUGCAGUUCAGGGUAUCUGUUCCUCACAGAUCAAAAACAAAACAGAAUUGGGUUCUAGGCCAAUGUACCUUUUUCCUUGCCUGGACCCCAUAGCAAAGAAAACUGACUGUAACCACAAGCCACAUAACAGUAACUGAAUCUUCUAGUAUAGGUGGCCCACUAUACCUUCUUAUUUUUCUUACAUCACUAGUAAUUCAUUGUUAUUAUAGUCAUUAUAUGUUAUCUCCUUUUUUCAGUCUUUCUCAGACAUCAUUUUUAUUUUUUCCUUUCAAAUUUGUGUGUAUUCCCAUAUAAUCUUUCUAUCAUCAUUUGGCUCAUCCCUUACACUGAUAUUGAACCAUGUGUUAUUAUACAUAAAUAUAACUUGGUAUUUGUUUUCCAAUGGAAUAUCAUUGUCUAACCAGUCAUGUAAUACUGGACACAAAUAAUGAGUGUGCUAGUGAAUGUUUAACCAAUAGUUCUUUGAAAAUUGCAUACUUAUAAGGUUUAUAUUCACUCUAAGCAAUUUUUGUAUCCCUUUCUUAAGUCAAUAAAAAAGUCAAUGUUGAAUUGUAUUUUUAUGAUUCUAGAAACAAUUCUUCACAGUGAAAUUUUACUCUGUAUAAAGAUAGGGUGAUUCCAUUUCCCCUUUGAGUUAAAUGUUCUUCCUCUUCUUAUGCCAAUAUAGGAGACAUAUUUCAUUAUUUUGCCUCCCAAAUUCUCUUUUUUGUUAUUUUCAUUUCUUUUCAUUGAGGUUUGCCUGUUCUCCAUCCCCAUCAUUUUAUUUCUUCUGCCUUAUACCUUUUCCUUAGUUCACCAUGCAUCAUCUCACAUAAAUAUUUUCUUGCUUCUCAGAAUUCCAAAUACUCAUUCUCUAUUUCAGUAUAAUAUAUUCUUUAUUUCAUUACAGUUUCAUUACCAUACAGACAGUGAUUUGUUUAGUCAUCUCUUAUCUGAAGAGCAUUUGGGUUUCCAUUUCUUUGCUACAAAGUAUUUUUGUUCAUUUUAAAAGGAACCAUUUCUGACACCCCCAUUUUAUAGAUAAAAUUCAAGUGAUGAGAGGAAUGAAGUUUUAUUGAAAUGGAAUAGAUAAAUGAGUUAGGGUUAUUCAUUUCAUUGGGAGCCUAGAAAAAUAGAAUCGGGAGACUUUGGGGUGUUAUGAUCCAAGUGAAGUUUCCUGAGAUCUAAGUUCUAUGAGCUCAGCGAUGUUACAUAGCCCUCCCUCAAGAUGGUAGGUCACCUAAGCCAUAGUAGCCCUAUGUCAUCUUCUUGGGUAUGAGAUUUUAUAACCUCUCCCCCCAAUGUUUCACAACUUUAAUGUUUAAUAACAUCACCUUGUGCUCUAAAUAAGUUCAAACUAUUUCCCUUGAGAUUGUUCUCCUAAAUGAAAAUGUUGAUUUGUAUAAUAUACCUUUAUAGACUUGAAUAUCAUUAGUAAAUCAUUAUUCAGUAUUCUCUUCCCAGGCAAAAAAACAAAAAACAAAAAACAAAACCCAUCACCUUUUUUUCAAUCUGGUGCUAUUCCCCAAACCUCCUCAUGUUCUCACAAUCUUUUAAAAUAAAGGCCCACAAAAAAAAGUAAUUUUCAUAUCUAAGGCCUGAUCAAUAUGGAAUAUAGUUGAGAAUGCCUUCUUUUCUAGCUUUUGCAUGUGGCAAUGUAGUAUGCGCUUAUUGGUUUGCACAUAGUAGGUACUUAAUAAUAAUGUUGCACGGAGUAGGUGCUUUCAAAUAUUGCACAUUGUAGGCAUUUAAUUGCACAGAGUAGGUGCUUAAUCAGUGUUUGUUAAAUUGAGAGAAAAACAUCGUCCACGAUCGAUCUUUCCCUCGUAGUACCUCACAUCGCACUUUGUUUUCACUUCUCCCACAAUUCUCCUUACUGUCUUUUUUAUAUCAUACCCUAUACAUAUGUAGCCUGUUUUUAUUAGAUUUUAAACUUCUUGAGGGCAAGAGCUAUGUAUCUUAGUAUCUACCCUAGCAAAUUGCUCUGCUACAUAAAUACUACUGCAUUCACUUAAUCAAUGUUUAAUUUUUGAUUUGAGUAGAAUUGUUCCCCUGUCAAUGCAUCCUAACACCAAGUCAGGAUGCCUGUACUGCACGAUUAGCACCUUAUUACAUUUUAUCCUGUUAUAUCUUAUAACAUUAUUCUGAGAAAAGCAAAGAACUCCAUAUGCUAUAAAACACUGUAUCCGUGCUAUUAUUAUUAUUAGUUACCAUUGUUAUUUUCUAGUUGCUUUUGUUAUAUCAUUUAGCACUUUAUUAUAUUAGAAUAUCAUGCUAUCUUGUCAUUCUAUUUUUGUUAUUUGGUGUGUAUAUCUUAUUUUCCCAGUUAGAUUGUAAUCUUUAGGUAGGCAAUGGCUAUGUAUACCUUGCAUAUAAUAUGUACUCAAUAAAUGCUUAUUGAAUGAUUAA